UUCUUUAUGUUCUUUGUCAGGUUGUUGAUGCUUUUGUUACGGGGGAUCAAGAUCAAGCAAACAAAAUUCUCGAACAGGUAACAUAUAUGCGUGUUUCGUAGAUACUCUUUGAUUCCAAAAGGAUCGAGAUACAAGUUAACUUAACCUAUUUUUCCUGGGAACUUACGGAUAAAGUAGAUAAAGAGUAGUAAACUAAGUGAAAGGAAGUUUUUCCAAUGCUAAGCUUUGGUGUUAGGUGUUCAACUUUGUUAGCAAUGCGUAUCAGGCUGUAGGAGCUUUGUUUUUUAAUUUGAACUUAAAAAUACGAGUUCCGAUAGGCACUCGACGUUAGGUAAUUGGGUGUUAAUAUACAAGUUAAAUGACUCUAAUGAAGGAUUUUGGUGUGGCAUGGACAAUUUUUUCAAGAAAAGGCUCACCAACCAGAUGAAGAAUCCAAUUAAAAGAGUUUUGAAACUCGAUUAGUUUCUUGUUCUUCGACCAUGUUUGCAGAAGAACCUUGUUGGUUCUUUCAUUCGAUCUCACUCUCUAUUAUCGUUUUCCAGGAACACUGAGAUAGGAGAAGAAAUGUUGCUUGAGUUGCACGAUCAUGGCAUAAGGGAGGCAAUCCAACUUUUGAAGUAUCACUUAUCUUCACUAGCCGGCAUCCUAUGUAAUUUUUUGAUGCUGUAAAAUUUAACAUAUAGAUUAUGACGUAUAAGUUAAUGACAUCAUGUAACUUUUUGUUAAUGUAUGAAUUUAUGUUUGGAUAUAAAAUAUAAUUCUCAAGUUAUUUAUUACUUCUAAUCUUUUGCUUUUUAAUUUAGAUAAUAAUUAAAUUAUUUGUUUCGCUAAUAAGAUUCUAGGCACAUUAGAUAUGCAUUGCAGUUUAAAAAUAAUAAAGUGGGUUGUAUAUUAUUUUUCUAAUGCUAUAUAUUAUAUAUUAUUAUUAAUUCAUAUUUUAAUAAUAAUCAUAUUAAAAUAUAAUUAAAUUAUUUAUUAUUUAUUAUUUAUUAUACAAUUUAAUAAUAAUCUUAUUAAAAUCUAAUAACAAUAACAAUAAUUAUAUUAAAAUAUAAUUAAAUUCUGUGAAGAGUAUUUUGGUCAUUAAGCUUUUUUUCUUAUACUAUUACAACAUCUAUUCCAUUUAAUCAAAGACAAGAAUUUUAUUACAGUUCUAUUUUAUUUCAUUCUAUUCAACCAAACAAUUGAAUUAUUGAUUAUAACUCUAUUCCAUUACAGCUUACAACUCUAUUCCAUUACAAUGAACCAAACGUACCAAUAAGAAAGAUUAAGUCAACCAUUAGCAUCUUGAUAAAGGAAGUUAGGAUAAGGGCUAAUAAUUUUCAGUCAAUAGAGUUUAGGUUUGUACCUCACCAAGGGAAUCCUAUGGCGCACACACUAGCAAAGGAGGGAAGGAGGGUCGACGAGCCUAGUGUUUGGGUAGAGGAAGCACUGAGGUAGGUGGAAGUAGCGGUAGGAGGGAUCGGAGGGCCAUGCAAGUUCGGGACUGAGGUGGGUUUUUUGACGCUAGAGAAACGGUUCAUCUUUGGGACUCCCGAGGCGGCUAGAUUAGCAAGAGCAUGAUAAUCGUUGAGAUGCCAUCGUGGGUGAAGAUGGGGAGAGAAGCUACUCGUUUUUUCGAACUGGUGGUGAUUGUUUGUAGAUUUUGUGGGGAGCCGUUUCAUCUAAUUUAUUUUACGUUUUUUGUUUUUGUUUUUCAAUCUGGUUAGUGUGGUUUUUCUUGCUUUUGUUGUUUUGUUUAUUUGGUUUUUUUUUUUUUUGGGGGGUUUUGUUUCCUAUAGCUGCAAUUAUGACACCGAUAUGCUUGACCAAUCGGUUGCUUUGGUGGGUAGGUGUAAUGGCUCUCUUUUCUUUAAUAAUUAUCAUCAGCAAUUAUUUAUUUCAAAAAAAAAAUAGUAAUAAUAACCACGAGAACAUUACCCUUAAAUAGAUUACAUAAAAAUAUAACCCCAAAACUUACUUCAUUUUUAACCAUAUUACAUUCUUCAUUGUUGCUCUUUGACACCUGUUUUCACUGCUUCACCGGUUUGUCUCUUAGGGAACAGCGGAUUCCAUUCAUGACUCCUGGUGUUGGUUAUGGAAAGGGAAAUUUGUUUCUAAAUGAAGAUCGUCAUUUUCUUCUUCUCCAUCAUUUUCACCGUCAUAUGUCCCAAGAUAUGCCUCAUCUCCUUCCUCCUGUAGACCGCAGAAUAUAUAUAUAUUUUUUGUAAGAAAAACAAAGCAUUAGAUCGACUAUCUUACAUCAAUAUACAGCAGCAGAAAAAGGCAGAGAGAGAAAAAAAAUUAAAGACCUCGGUGUCAUCAUCAUCAUCACUAGGAUAUGAAGAAUCUAAUCUGUCGUAGAAUUCCUCGUCUCCUCGGGCAUCCAUACUGUGCAUUUGAUCCUAUUAAAGCGCAUGCAAGGUUAAUGCAUAUGUAUUCAUGGUCACACUACUGAACCAAAGAAGAGAAAAAGCUAAUAUGCUACAUAAGAAAACAUACUAUUUCAGAUCUUAUUUUCUCCACUUUAGCCUGCAGAGCUGAAAUAUGCUUUACAAGAGCCUGUUGACAGAAUGAGUCAUUUUACAGGUGUCUGCAAAUUUAGAGGGUAAACUAAGGAGUUUUAAGGUUAAAGGUGGACUAUCAAAAGCGUAAGGAACAUGCUACCUCGCGUCUUUGAAGCUCAAUUGAACGUGCCAAAGCCCUCCUCUUCGUUAAAAGAUUCUUUGGCCUAAUUGUAGAAGGUCGCUCAUAAUCAUUUCCUCGGUAAACAAUUAUGGCAUAUCCUUUGGAGAUUUUAUCAACUGAAACCAAAACUCCACCACUUUCAGCUUCGAGUGCUAUUGCAACCUUUUUUACCUGAUCAAAAUUUUUAGCCUUCAUGAUGAUCUUUACCAAUUCCCUGUAUUUCCAGUGCAAGUGCAUGUUUUCUAUAGUACCAUCGAAAACUCCACGUCUACCUGAAGCAAGAAAUUCAAUUCCCAUAAGAAUCUUAAAUUCUAUACAGGAAGACUAUAAAUCAGUGAUAACUGUAGCUGAAUGAGAGAUACCAAGAAGUAAGAAAGCUUUCAUCCUUAAACCGAGCUUGCGAAACAUAAACCUUUCCUCAUCAGUUAUACUUUCUGGAUCUGCCUGCCGGUCAGCUGGUUUUAAAUAAUCCUCAACCUUAGAUAAAGUUCGUUCAGCUUUCAAUAGCUUUCGCUCAGCCUGAAAGGCAAAUAUUCUUCAUUCAAACCUAUUUACCAUUUAAAUAUACAAAUUACAAGUAAUGGUAGUACUCAAGAGUAUAAAUCUAAGAAAAAAUGCACCAAAACAUAGUGACUGAAGAUUCAAGGAACUCACAAAAGCCAGGUUCUUUUCAAGUUUCCUGACUAGGUUCGCAUGCCUCAAGAUUUCUGCUUCCUUCAACACUUUUUCCUUAUGAUGAUCAUCCAACCUCUUUCCCCAUCUAGCAUCUGCAUCCAAAGUUUCUCCGAGGGUACCUGCAGCUCCUGAUUGCUCAGCUACUUCCGUGCUUUGUGCAAACAAAGCUGACGCUCUUAACCGUGCCUGCUCCUCCACAUCUUGCAGGGACUUGGCCAAUCUUUCCCUUUCCAAUAAUGCUUCAGCAACAUCUGCAGACAAAAAGUUCUUUCCCCUGUAGAAGACCAAGAAGUCUUUGUUUCUAGAGAGAAGAAUGCCCCCUGUCAAUUUCUGAAGCCAAUCAAAAGAAGGGCAUUAUCAACUGCUCAAUCUGGUAUUAUCAGAAUCCAAAUAGUUGAACAAAACAUAUUUAUGAAAACUGAUAUAAAUGCCAGUAAAUGUCCAUAUCACCAUGGAUUAAUACCAGGAAUUGUUUUCAUCUCAAAAUAUUUCAACAAAUACUGUAUUACUUAUUCAGCCUCAGGCAAGUGUAUCACUUAUAUAUUCUUAAGUCAAAUAAUGAUAGCCAAAACAGAAGAAAUUAGGAAGUUCGAUAAAGUUGUAAAGUACAAAUUGAAUUGUCAUGCUUAUUUCAUAUUUAAAACUGAUUUUAUUCCUCAUGGCUCCAAUGGAAGGACUUCAAAAACCAGACUCCUAACAACAGAAGGCAAGUUCACAGGAUAGCUAGACAAUGUCCACUAACAUAUUCCCAUUAGGCAGAAUGGCUUCAACACAUGCUGCGUGCUUGAAAAGAAAACAAAAUAAACUCAUGUAUCAUUAUUUUGGGCAUGAUUAAGUACAUAAUCCAAUAAAUAUACAAAAAGCGAAGAUGCUUUCCUUAAAAAGUUCAAAGCUCAGGGGACAUAAACAAAGCAAAAAGAAAUAGGAUAAGGAAAUGCUUGAGCAAAUGUAGUUUAAUUACCUUGAGAUCUUCAGCCAUUCUCUCACUGGUAGUCAGUUGUACUCCUCGUUUAAGUGCAAUCUUUGCAAUAGAACUUUUUUCCCACAAUUUAGUCAUGGCCACCGCCAGACCUUGGAGUUGCCUACUUCUACCUGUGAGAUGUAUACUUCAUUAGACAUUCAAAAGACCUAUGUUUAGAUCACAUGCAGUGACCCAAUAAAUGUAGCAUACCUAGAGCAAAAUGUGGAGGAAGAACUCUGGCAAGUCUCCUCAAAGACGUUGCUUCCUUUACCCCAAGAGAAGAUCUUACUCCAUAAGGAAGUACUCUAAAUGGAGGCUGAUAUCCAGGAACUAUUCCAGGAAGCAAAUCAGCAUCAACUGGUAACGGGUCACAUCCUGGCCAAUCUGCAUACCUGGGACCUAGGCCCUCUAACAGCUUGUCUACUUCAUCCUCAUACUUUAUUUCUGGCAAUGGCUCUGUAUUUUUAUGCUCCUCAGUAGCAGUUUCAGAGUUAGUUUGAGGUGGAGCCACAUCUUUAUGAGGCACCAAGUCGGAUGGAUCCUCAGUUUUAUCAGACACCAGGGGUGAUGAAUAUGUAGACAUCUCAUUUCUCUUAUAUAUUUGUUUGUUCAGGUGCACUGAAGCAACCUCAUAACUCACACCUCUAUAUAAAGAAAUGGACGUCCCGGACCUCCAAAUUACCAAUCCUCCAGUUUUUCUCUGUACAAAUGAGAAGACAAAAAAGCCAAAUUAGAAAACAAUAGAAAACUGACUUUUUAUACUGGUUCAGAAGAUGAAUGAUAACAUUCUUACAUGCUAUUGUCACCUAAAAUUACACUAUUAUUUAUACUUUAUUUUUGCACAACAAUCAACAUGAGAUCAUAUAAUUCCCCAACCAGAAUAAGCAUGGAAUAAACAUAGCAUUCAAAGAUGUACAUACAUAUUCUCAAAAGAGGUCCAUUAAGAUUCAAUUGUUGGUGAGGACUCAAAAUAUAUACUUAAUCUCAUAUUUCCUACAACUUUUACAAAAAAGAAAAAAAAAAGUACAACAGAAAUAAAGAAAGUGGAUUAGAAGCAAACCUCCAAUAUUUCAUGCAUCCUUUUCAUAUUAAGAGCAGGUGCCCCCUCAACCUUUAACCUCACAAUCUCCAUAGUCUUCCACUUCUCAUGAAUUGUAUCAACCACUUCUUGAGUAACACCAGCACCCUUAAUUCUCAUUUUACUCUUUGUCCGAAAUGUCAAGUUCCUUAACCUCCUAAGUUCAGACUCAGGCAGAGUUAAUUCAGCCAAUGAAGCCUUGUUAUCUCCUCUUGCUGUCCACUUCCCUUCUUCCUGUUCUUCCUUCCUCUUUUCCCACGGAAACAUUAUUUCCCCAUCACUUCCAAAUUCAGUUUCCAUCCCCAAAGGUGACUCCUUUGAAAACCCACCUCUAGUAUUUGGUAACAUUCCUUCUUCCACAUAAAACAUAUCCUCUAUAGACCCUCUUUCAAUCACUUUCCUUGGUUGUUCUUCUUUCUGCUCAUUUUCCUCUCCAAUGUACCCAAAUUUCUUCAAUUUCUCCACUAUUUUCUCCAUUGUACUGCUGCUGCCGCUCCCAUUGUUAUCACUCUUUGAAUAAGACAAGCUCCAUAAAUUCCCAUCUUUCCUAUAAUUGAACACUGUUUUCGGCGGUUUAGGCCCAUUUCUUUUGUGGGUUUUGUUCCAAUUAUCUAACCAAUUACUUGAAAAGGUGGGAAAAGCUUUGGUUUUGCUUUCUGGGUUUGGGUGAAUUUGUGAGUUUGAAGUUAUGGUAUGGUUAUUAGCACAAAAAUUUAGGGUUUUGAGAGGGAAAUGAAAAGAACUGUACCUGAAAAAAGGGCGAGGGAGGCCAUGGAACCUGGAGAGAGAGGUUUGAAAUGAAUCCAAGAAGGUUGUUUUCGUUGUUGUUGUUGGAUGAAAUAGAGUCAUUGAUUAGAUUAAGAAACAAAAGGAAAAAAAAAAAACAAAGGAUUGGGUAAUUUAACAAAGGGUAUUUAGAUUACAAUUUUGGAGAAGGCUAAGGAUUUCAAAGUAGUUUCAUGGAGUCUCUGACUGGAAGGCUUAACUGCUGAAACAUGUUAUGUUAUAUAUUAUCCAUGGCUGGCGGGGAAGAAAUAUCUGAGGUCUGUUUCGUAGUUUGGGUUUCUUAUUUAAAAUUAAGUGUUCUUUUUCAUUUAUAUAUAUUAGUGCUUAAUAUUAUUUAAGUGGUUAAAUAUAUUACUUAAAAAUAAAAUAAAAGAAAUAAAUUAGUUAUAUAAAAUUAAUAUAAUAUAUUUUCUAAAAUUUAAAAUGAUAAAUAAAAUAUAUCUAAAUGUCUUAUAUCAAUCUCUUAAUAAAUAAUUAUAUAAAUUGAUAUUUUAAUCAUACUAUUAAAUAUAUAUUAAUUUAAAAUAAAAAUAAAAAUAAUUUAAUUUUUAAGCCUAGUAUAAAUAAAUUAAACUAAUAUAAAAGUUUUCCAAAUAAACUUAAUAUAUAUUUUAAAAUUUUAUAAAUAUAUAUUAUAUAUAUUAAGAAUAAUAUUGAAAUCUAAAAUUUAAAGUUUUUUUUAUUAAUAAAAUAAUUUUAUUUUUAUAAAUGAUUUUUAACAUGUUUUUAAUUUAUAUAUAUUUGGUAUAAUAUAAUUAGUCAGUGGUUUGUAUAUCAUGAUUUAUACUAUUCAUAGUUGAUAUUAUUGUCUUGAAGUUUAUUACUUGUUAUUAUUCUAUCACGACUAACGAUUAAAAUAGCGGUCGGGUAGUGGAAUAGUUGUCGCUAUAUAACGGUAGCGGUGCCAUCUGAAAUUGCUAUUGUUGAAAAUAGCGGUGUGAAGUAGAGUCACACCAAUAGUGGUGGAUUGCAGUUGCAAUUUAGCAGGUAACGGCUAAUUGCGGCAAUAACGAGCUGCUAUUCCCGUUAUUUUUCUGCUAUUCCCAUUGAUAUCUAUUUUUUUACUUUGUUAUUAGUUAUUAGUUGUGUGAAUUUUAAAAAAAUUCACAACCGCGAUAACCGCAGUGUCCGCAAUAGCAUUCGUUAUGUCCACAACUGCGAUAAACGUAACGCGAGUGAAAACGCGACAACAACCGCAAUUUAAAUCCCUGAUCACGACAUAUGUUCUUUGCUUUUUCUCUUUUCUUUUCUCUCAUUGAUUUUUUUUUUCUUGUCAUUCAUUUCAUGUGAUUAAUAAAGAGAUCGAAAAGAAUCCAACGAAAUGUUUUAAAUGAAAUGGGGUUUUGUCGAGAAUGAUCCGGGUCCUUUCUUUGCACCCUUCUUAUGAAGUUGCUUUUUGGGUUUCAAACUUGUUUGAGGUUGACGAUGAUUUCCCUUCUUGAUUCUUUCUAUUUCUAGCUUUCUUUUAUCUUUUUUCGCAUUAUACAUUGUAACAUCAUGAGAAUAAGAUUCAGAUUAUCAACAAAUUGAAUUUACAACCAAAUCCACCAAAAUACAUGGCUCAAACCUACGUUGUCAAGGUUGAGUAUCUCAUGCGAAUGCUUAGAGAUUAGCUUGUCAUUCUCAGUUUGCACCUUCUCCCUCGAGCCUAUCCCUGACCCUUCAACAACUGGUAAGAACUGAACAAAAGAAGAGAGCAUGAUAAUGUAGUUAAUGAGAAACAUUUACAUUGAAACACAGGUCAAGAGGCCCAAGAGUUCAAACCUUGGGAUGCUUGCUUUUUAGCAGGCUUUUCUCCUGGCAAUUUCCUAUCGAAUUUCCCACCACUGGCUGUAGAUGUAGCAGCGAUCCCAGCUACAUUCCCCAAUUCAUCUUUAGUUACUUUCUUAGGUGGAGCCCAGGUUCCUGUUAUGGACAGAGCCGUAGCAGCAAGCUGAACAUGGCUGCAGCAAACUAUUUAAAGUAAAAUCAACAAAAACAUAACACAGCCAAAUUCUUAAACUGAUAUAAAAUGAUAACAAGGAGUCUGGCAACAAUCGGAAGACUAAACCAAAGAUCUAUUUUAUUUAAUGCAAGCUUAUUAAAGUGUCCAAACAUCCGCACGAAGAACUAGGAAGUUUGGACGAAAAUGGUGCUUAUAGAAAAGAGACCCAGCAACCAUGGGCACCCAUAAGCAUGAUCUGUAAAAUCAUAGGCUAACCUUUAAACUGCUUAAAUGACAUAAAUAUUAGGGUACAAGGGAAUGCCAUCAAAGAAUGGGAAUCGCAGGUUGGAAUAGUUCUACAUGUAUUCAAAGAAUGGGUAAAACCUUGGCAAAGCACCAAGUUUUGCAGCUUGUUUCAAGUUCUGGAGGCGAUUCUUCUCUUGCUUCUCAACCCGUUUCUUUUUAUCAUCUUGUCUUUUAGCAAAAGGAUCCUCUCCUGGCUCUAGAAAAAACAACAAUCAUGGUCAACACAAUCAAACAUGUCCAAUAUGUUCUAUUAGAUGCUUGUAAACUUAUGAAGUAAAGGUCUAUCUAUUACAUGAUGUGUUUGUAGUAAUUAAAAAGUCUAUUCGAUACUCACCAUCAGUCAUCUUGGCCUCAAUGAUGGCUAUGUCUUUAUCAUCAUUGACACUAUCAUAACCAAAGCGACGUUUCCAUGUACCAGUCUGUUCAUCCCAUGCAACUUUGUCCUUUUUACGUUUCUUUAUACCCACAAGAUAUUCCAAAACAAUGGAAAAUGAGUUUGCACUCUAAAAGAACCAUGUAAGUAGGAUAGGUGAAACGAAUUACCUUUCCUUUUAGCAAACUCCUCCCAAUUUGUAGGAGGUUUAGGCUUUGGAAGCUGAAAACACAAGCAAAUAAAGCAUUUCAGUUCUGAUGGCAGCUUAUCAACCAAAUAAAACAUUGCUCAUAUACACUAAUAUAAAAUUCAAUUUUCAAGAGAAUUAAGUAAAAGGCCAGGCUUACAUGCUUCUCCCUUGGAAGCUUUGUAGUUGGAGGAGGCAGCUUAACAAGGGGCCCAUCUACAUCCUGGGUUGAAGGUAAAUUAAAAGAGACUAUCAGCAACCACUUGAACUAACUUGGUACCCUCUUGUAAACAUUCCUUAACUAGUUCAUACCUAAACAUUUAUAGCGGCAAUCAAAAUUCCACAUCUUUUACAGAUCAAAUAAGCAAAAUAAAAUCUGCAGUUCUUGCUUUACCAAGUUUGAAGGAAAUAAGUAUCAUAAUGCAUAGCUAUUCAAUUUAUUUUAGAGCUCCAAAUCACCUUUGCCCCCCAAAAAUUUCUUAUCAUCCCAAAAAAAAAAAAAUACCCCAAAGAGAAAGACGAAAAGUACCCAUAUAACAAAACAACUCAAAAAUCAAACUACUACAAAAAUAAUAAUUAUUAUUAUGAAGGAACAAAAGGGGCAAACUUGGAAGUGGGGAGGGAAGGAAAGUUGUGAAAAGGGUUAAAAGCGAGGAGAUUUCCCACUUCAAGUUGAAAAGGGUUCUAGUUCUCCUCCGUCUCCAUCUUCAGCUGGCGUUGGUAUGUGGUGUUGUGUUGGAGAAAUCGGAUUAGUAAAACGCAGCCGAAAAUAAAUUUAGAGUAUAAACCGGCUAUAGGCCCAAUCAUCUUUAAAGUAUAAACUUCCACUUAUGCAUCAUUAGUGACUAACUUAAUAUUUAAGUAAAUCACAUCAUAAAUAUCUCAAGUAAAUUAAUUAAUUCACAAAUAGAUUUAAAAUUAAUUCAUCUUGGCUUCAGUCCAAUAUGUCAUUCUACUAAUGAAUAUAAUUAUGUAUCUACUUGUGGAGUCAACUGCUCCGAUAGCCAAGACUAGUCAUCUUUUCAAUUAAAAUUAUAGAUGACAUAAUAAUCCUUCUCAAUAUUUAAAUCAAAUACUCACUUUGAUUCUUUUACGGUAUUCCGAACUACUUUAGAUUAUCUACUAAAGUAAGUUAUCUUUCUCGUAAUGUAAACGUUUUUACAAUACUACUUAUCUUCAGUUUGAACUUAGACAAUCAAUAAGCUAAUAUUUUUUUCUCACAAUUUCGUUAUGCAUGCGAAAUAUAAAAAACAUAAUAGUAAAAUGUGAAAUUAAUUUAUUUAUUUAUUUAUCGUACAAAUAAGUAGAAAACAAUUACAUAUUUACUAUACUAUGGACACAUUUUUUAACAACCUUAUGAUAGAUAGAUGAUAAUGCCUGUUGUUUUUGAAAAUCUACUAGCCACCAAAAGUUUAUCUUGAAAAGUGGGUGACUCUUCGUCAACUUUUUUAUUUAUUUUUGUUUUGAGAGUAUUUCAGAAUAAUAAUGAUCUCAUGAGUCAGUUUGAACCCUUGUUGGUUUUAUAUAUAUUUUUAUUUGUUUUCUAUUGUUUAAUAAGUUUUCACUUUUAAAAAAUUUUAUCUGCUCUCAUAGCACUUUUUUUAAUAUUAUUUUUGCAAGUGAUUUUAGAGAGUUUUUGUCACCAUCAUCUCCAAUUUGGAGAAUGUUUGGUUCUUUUUUUAUUUUUGUCGAUUUUUGCUCGUCAUUUUGGACCAUUCGAGACUGAUUUUUUUAUUGGCAUUAAGUUCUUGCGAUCACUUUAGAAUAUAGUACUUGAGUUAUAACAGAGUCAAUUGUCAACGUACCAUAAUAUUCUAUUGUUGGUGAGAGUGAAGCUUUUGUUGUGUUGAUGGAGAUUGUAUUAAGUUUAUUUAUUAUUUAUUUUUAUUUUUAAAAAUAAUUUUCCUAAUCAAACUAUAUAUAGAAAUUGUAUUAAAUUAUUUUAUUUGUAUGGUGCGUUGGUUAAAAUUCUUAUCAUACACCUCUUCCGCACAAAUUCAAACUAGAUAUGUUUAUGGGUCGGGUUACUUGCAUAGACUUGAAGUCCACUCAAAAUUUAGGAGGAUUGAGUAAAAAAAUUAGGUUUGUUUAAAAUAUUGGUCGGGCUUAAACAUACCCGAGCUUGGAUAUAUAUAUACAUAUAUAAAACCAACAAGAAGUAAAUGUGUUAUACCAAUUUUUACAUGAUUAAUCUUUUUAAUACCUAAUUUAAAAAUAAAACAGUUAUAUAAUUUUUUUAUGACAUAAAUAGUUAUAUAAGUUGAUACAAAAAUUAAAAUAAAAAUUAUGAAAGAAUUUUUUUAAAAUAAUUUAUUUUUUAAAUUAAAUGAAUUUAAAGUUUAUCAAAUAAGUAUAAGUAAAUAUUUUUAAACAAUUUUAUUUUUAAAAAUAAAUUUAAAGUAAAUUAAAUGAAUUUUCAAUAAUUAAUUAUAUUUUUAAAGCUAUUAUAAUUUAAAUAAUUUAAAGUCUCUUAAAUAAAUCAAAUAAAUAUUUUAGAAAUCUAUCGUUGAGGACUUGAAAUUUUUAAGCUAAUGUAAGUUAAAUGAAUUCUAAAAUAUAAAAUAUAAAAUAUAAAAUGAGUAUUAAAAUUAUUCAUUAUACCGACUAAAAAACGUCAUAAUUAAUUGAUUAGUCGGUGGCUAAAAAAUAAUCUCGAAUGGUUGAAUUGUAAUUUUUUUAAUUAGGUGAUUAAAAAAACACAUACCCAUAAUUCAAUAGUAAUACAGUAGUUACCUAAUUUAAAAACAAAAGAAAAUUUUCAAAACUGAAAUAAAUAAAAUAAAGAUAAAGAUAAAUUUUUGAGCAGUUAUCCAAGCCCAAAUAAAACAUGAAUAUUAGGGUUUCCUUUUUCUUCUAUAAAUUAGUGCUUGUUUCUAAGGUUUAUAUCUCUUCUUGUGGCUGGCUCGGUGGCUAGAACAAGUUACUCCUUUUUCUUUUUCUUUUUUUGAUAAUUUUUUUAUUUAAACUCAAUUAAAGAAAAGAAAAACAAAUUUCUGGAGAUUGAUCGCAGCUUUCCUCUUAGGGUUUAUCGGUGACAAGGUAGAUGCAUUUUCUUUUAUUUUUUGUUUUUUAAAAAUGGAGGAAAAAGAAAAGUGGAUGAUGAAAACAAUCAGACGGAUUCCCAUUGAUUUUUUUUCUAUGAGAACAUUAUCAGCUACUUCUGGCUCUUAGAUUUUUUUUUCGUCGUUUUAUUUUAUUUUUAUAUCUUUUAUUGAGAAAAAAAUAUUUUCUACUCUUAUGGUGGUUUAAAGUUUAAACCACUAUCUGAUUGUUUCCACCAAGAUUUCAGAGGUUUUUUUUUUCAGUUAAUUUUAUCAAAUCUGUAUUGUUUAUAAUCGUUUUCUAGAUUUUUAAAAUUAAGUACUUGGGUUUUUAAUGAAUUCGUUGGUUUACUAAUUUUUUAAUAAAAAUUUUAAGCUUAUUUUUUGUGUUUUAUCAUUUUAGUAGUCUAUUUUUUUUUAAUUUUUAAAAAAUUAAUUAAAAUUUUACUAUAUUACGAGAGUAAAUUAUUAUUAAUUUAAAAUUUUAUAAAUUCCAAAACAACAAUGGAAAAUUUUCUAUUUUGGAAGGAUUUGGCUUCGCCUGGCUAGAAUAGAAGAUCCAUUGAGUUACGUAGAAGGAAUCUCUGUUAUGAAGUGCAGCAGUUUUCAAUGACGAUAGUUUUGGCGGUGCCUUUAAACUGGAGUCAAAACGUUGCCGUUUCUUCUGUGAAAGAUCAUUCAUUAAGCUUUCGUUCAGUGGUUUUUUAUUUCGUAUGUUAAUUUACCAAUUUCCUUUUUUCUUUUUUGAUAUAAAGAUCUGAUUAUUUUGCUGGUGGAUUUUUGAAUUGCUGAUAGUAAGUUUUAAUUUUUAACACAGAAUUAUCAGUUUUUAACAUUGAAUUAUUGCGAAUUUAAUAAUUCAGAUUAAAUUGGUAACACCACUUGUAUCCUUUAAUACAAUAUUUCUCGUAUUAGAUCUAGCUUUUAAAAUUUUAUACACUAAUGUAAAUUCAUUAAUUUACAUUUAGCAUUCCACGUAUGAAGCUAGUAAUGUAUUAUUGAAAAUUACGUCAAAAAAAAUAUCAUGUGAAAAGCUAGUUACGUAGAAAGAAGAUCGGUAUUUGUAGCAAGUCUGUAAUCCAAAUUUUUUUAUUUUUCUUUUUUGAGAAAUCAACAUGCAUAUAAUAAUAAUAAUAAUAAUAAUAAUAAUAAAGAAACCACCACUUGAAAUAAAUAAAUAAAAAACCUAAAACCCAUCCUCCCUGAGAAGAAAAACGGUAAAAAGAAAAACAUAGACAUCAUAAAAUGACUUACGAAUUCUUAGAAAACCCUACACCGCUUACCUACAACCCACCCCCCCAACCCAACCCCGCCUUGGAUUAUUCAUUUAUAUCCCCUUGAAGAUGGUCCCAUGGUACUGUAAAAUCUAUAAUAAAAUUCUAAAGCCAGUAAAAAACCACCAAGCAUUCAUUAUAUUUUACAAGACCACAAACACAUCCCCAAGGGGAUCCAUAGAAAAUGUUAGCAACCGUUUGAUAAAAAGUUCUUCACUGUUUAGGGUAUCCUGAACCAUCUUCUGAAAGAAGGCCGUUCGAGUGAGGAAUUGGAUUGGCUUCUUUGAUCAAAUCACCAUUUGUUGUUGCUAUAUCUUUCUUUUCAUCUCCAGGCUUUUCUUCCCAUACCUGCAAUUUUGAGAAUCGAUGCGCGCAAAACGGAUUAGUUUUAUGGAUGAACAAACAUUAAUUUAUCAGUUAUAAUUUGUAAGAAUAUUCAUAUCUUGCCUGCUUUUGCAACUGAUGUUUAGCCUUUUUCUCCUGAAUUGCUUUCUGGCGAAUCUCGUAAAAUUCGAAAUCGUCUAAAAUGCAAGUUUUGCUGGAAUGGUCCUUGAAGAUUUUGAGCAACUUAAGGCCUUGAUCAAGCUUGAUCUGCGCAAACCAACCAGAGAUUACCCUCGGAAUACGCAGUAAGUAGAAAGAGAGGGGAAAACUCUACUUAAGAAACGAAGAAUACCUCUUGCGUAUCCCUGCUAUUUGUGACGGGCUUAUUCUCAUUGUUCUCUAAGGUAAUGUGCUUCAAGGAAUUAUUAGGUACAUCCUUAAUAAUGAGCCAUCUUACUGGGAAACAGCCAGUCCAUUUGUCUUGUUGCCAGAACUCCACAUUCUUUUGAAAAUCAACUGCCCCUACCAUCUCGGCAAUGCCGACAAAUUGCCCACUUGUAUUGACCUAUAAGAAGUAGAACAAAUUAAGCAGAGCAAAAACUAAGAAUUAAUUUACCCAAUAGACAAGAUGCAAUAAGAGACCAACCGAGAAGAAGAGAAAUAUAGGGCAGUGACCAGAUUUCUGCUGAGCUUCCUGGUAAGCUGCAUCAAGCUUUUUGUUACCAUUUGGUGUGCUCGCCCAAACAUUGUACUUAAUGCUUUUAUGAACAUCAUCCUCGCUGUAUGAUUUAAUAACAAAGAACUUGGCAUCGUCAUAAUCCACAGGGAAUUCUACUAGGUUAUACUGUUCACGGUCUGGAACAACAUAUGCCUUUUCCUCAUCCUUGGUUCCAUCUGAGGGAAUAUUUUGCCCCUUAGUAGAUGCUGUGAUAGCUGUUGCACCCUUUUGGCUCUUAGGCCCCUUAGCCCUAGGUCCCCUGUUCAAUUCAUUAAAACCGUCCAUGAUAUCAUUGCCUGAACCAAAAUAACCAUUGCCCCGUCCCCUUGGUCUAUACUUGUUGUCUGCCAACCAACCCCUUUCAUUUGUUCGCAAAUCAUAACCAUUAGAUCCAAAGCCCAUCCCAGAUCUGAAUGUGGUCCCAUACUGACCAUAUGGUUUGUUUGGGUACAUUCUAUUGACAUAACCAUGAGUUGUGCCCAUGCCGGACAUUGGCCCAGGGUGGUGCAGUCCCUUUAAAUUCAAAAGUAUGAUGAUUAGAAGUAAAAAUUCAAAAGAAUAUAACGCCAAGAGAACUAAGAAAAUCGCAUAACAUAAAAAUACAAAGGAAAUUAUUAGAAAAGCCAAAUCAUGCAUACCAUGUAAUUAGAAUUCGAUCUGAAGUUUUGAUUCCUUGAAGAUGGAAAACCAUUUGCUUUUGAAACCAAAGAGUUCAUUGCAGGGCUUGAGACAGGCCUGUGCUGCCCAUCUGAAAACAUAGAGCCAUCAAGCCAUGGGAUAGGGGAUCGAAACCCAUCAAAACCGUAUCUUGGAUCCUGAUAUCCACUUCCUGGUGGGGGUCCCCUUCCAUACGAAUUAUUGGUAUUAAAUGUGCUGGGGUAUGAUGGUUUUAUUGCGCCUGGACCAUUAUUCCCCUUCACACUGCCACCAUUGGCAACUCCAUUGGAAUUUGAGUUAGGUGUUUCAACAGGUAAGGGCUUCUGAUCAGCAGCAGCAGAGGUCAGAAGCUCACCAUGGGAUGGAGCCGCAGGGUUUGGCGUGAAUGGACCACUGUUUAGAGUCAUCGGCUGGAAGAAGGGAGGAUACUGGUAGUGUUGUGGACCAUACAAUUGACCAUCAUUCCCCAGAGUCGGAACUGGGGAAGCUGCAGGUGAAUACGGUCCAUAUGGUGCAUAGCUGUAACCAUGAUGAUACAUAAGAGAUCCAUUGUCCCCGUAAACCCCCUGAAAACGUAGUACAUGGAGGUUCAAUAAAAUUCAUGAAAGAUUUAGCAGUUAAUAGUAACUUUGAGUACAAGGAGAACGUGAAAAGGACUUACUGAAGUCAUGUCAACUCCAUCUGGAUUUAAAUAUUGUGAAUAUUCAUCCCACUCGUUACCGGUGCCAUCAAAGCCUGCAAUAUACAUUAUACAUAUAUGAAUCCAAUUCUAGCCCUGAUUAAUUCGGCAUAAAAGAUGCAGAAACAAAGAAACUGCUCAUUUACUACCUCCAUAGUAAUACGCAGAUGGAUAACCACUAGGAAUAUAGCACAUAGUCGGAUCCAUAAAAUCCUGUAACAAAGGUGUUGUGGAUCUGUCAAACGUCGGAAUUUGGGUAUUCCCAGUGUUGCCUGAAUCAACAGAACCAUACUGAUAAACAGAAGACUGCACAGAAAAAUAAAUCAGGCAUUUAGAUAUCCAUUGAAAUUCUUGCAACAGACCGAACAUAGAUCGGCAUACUUAGAUUGAAUCGUCCGCAUCAAAUACAAUAGUUUUAUCCAUAAUUAAAAUAGUAGUAAAAGGACAUCACCUUCUUAGUAGGCUCAGGAAUAUCGAAGGGCUUUGCCUGCGAAUCUAUAGUCAAUUUCUGCAACAGCUCUGCUGUUUCUAAAAGGAGUAAAAGAAUACAAACCUUGGGCAACUUAAAAAAAAAUUCCGAAUCUAUAACGUUCACAACUCAGAAAUCGCCACAAAUAUUCUUAAAGAUUGGAAAGAGCAACAAAGAACAAGUUAAACAACAAAUUCAAUCAAAUCAAAUCGAAUAACAAUAUAAAAGAUAAGUUACCAGAGACAACCAAGCAAAAGAAGAUCAAGAACCAUAUAAAUGAAGCAAAACAGAAUCUAUCUCAUAAAUUCAAAAGAAUAUGAAUCGUGAAAGCAACAAAUUCAAAUCAAAAAGUGCAAACAAAGUACAGAUCUAAAAGAAACCGAAACAAAAAAAAAUUCAUAGCCGCAAAAAGAAGCAUAAACGAAUAAUUAAGGAUACGAUCUGCAGGAGGAGCAACUGUAGGCGCCAUUAACAACACUUAAAAAUCUCUAAACCCUAAUAAAUCCCAAAAUCUCAGAUGUAUGGGGGUUUUAGAAGACAAAAGAGAGAGAGAGACGGAUAAAAGAGAGAGCAAAAGGGGAACAACACCAGUUACACUCUCAGCCUCAAACCUCAGCCACAGCCGCCGCCGCGUCAGCCGCCAAGAGAGAGAGAAAACAGAGAUUUGGGGAAUUAGGGAAAAGAGAGCAAAAGAGGAGAGAGUUUUUGAAAAUCCAAAUCCGGUGAUUCAAAUAGCACCACGAGGGCUUUCUCGAUUUUCGCUUCUUCUCACCUUUUAGUUCACUGUUGUUCCACGUGGCGUUAUAUUACUCGUUUAUUUGCAUCAUCGAUUCGCAUUCUAUUGGUUGGUGAUAUUAUUACGGUGACAGUCGGCGAUGAUUUUUUUGUUAAGCAAACCGUGUGUCAUUGGGGGACAAAAUCCUUGUGAAACCCUAAAUUAGUAAUUACAUUGAAAAUCCUAAUUGGAAAGAAAAUCUUAUCCAAAAAGCUAAAAAGUAUACAAAGAAUCAAUUACUUUUAUUAUAAAUUAAUACAUUUAUAUUCUUUUACAUAAAUUGAAAAUCAUAUUAUUUUAUUUUUUAAUUAAUUAAUUCCCAUCUAUUUUCUUGAUCCUCAAUCUCAAAUUGAUAUAUUUUGAUAACCAAAUUAAUUUCACCUCCACUAUUUUAAUUAAUUAAAUUUUUAUCCUUUUAAAUUUAAAAAAAUUACUUUUUUUUUCAGUUUUUUAUUAUUAUUUGAAAUGAACUUUAAAAUCAUCAAAAGUAUUUCAUAAGAUAAAUUUAUCUAAAUAAUAAUUCUUCUAUUGUUAUACAAUUAUGAGUUCAAUGUUUUUCAAUUAUAAAUUAUGAAAAUUUUGAACAUGUUAGGCUUAUAUGUUACUAGCUUUUUAUUUGGUUACACCCCAAAUAAUAUUUUUAAAAAAACCCUAAUAUAUUUUCACUUAAUAUGACAGUUAUUUAAUUAAUUAUUAUAUUAUAUAUAUUGAUUACGUUUUUCUCUGAUUGCUGACUUAUAUUUUUUUUUUAUCUUAGUCCUUUAUGUCUUAGAUUUCAAAAUUUAAAUUUAGUUUAAAUACUAAAACUGUUAACCUUUUUAUAUUAAAUUUGUUGAUGUGAUAUUUUAAAAAAAAAACUUACUUAAUAGUUAUUGUAAUAAACAGUUGCUAACACUGUUAAACUAAAAAAAAUAGUAUUAUAAUAAACCUGAAUAUAACAAAAUAAUUUAAACAACAUUAACAAUUAAACCUAAAUUUAAAAAUCAGAAAAAUAGUACUAAACUCUUAAAAAGAAAUACAUAAACUAAAUUCUAAAUUUACAAAUAGAACAAUAUCUUAGUCAUAACUUAUUUCGAAAGACAUGCUCUAUGAACAUUAUUUUUUCCAUUUACAAAAUUUAAACUAAAAAAAAAAAGAAACCAUCAAAUUUCUUGCCAUUACCUAUUUAUUUAAAAGAAAUUUUAUUGAUUAUUCAAUUAAGUACAGAAUUUUUUUUUACAUAUUUUUAAUAUUUCAGUUAUAACAUAAUGACAAAAAAAAUCCAGUCCUAAGAAUUUAAUAACGUCACGUGUUAAAAAGCUAAAAAAUCAACCCCAAAAAAAAAUCUGUUUUUUUCAUCAUUAAAUUAAUGUUUUCCAUAGGACCAAAAAUUAAAUACUAAUACGGGCCAAAAUCCAAGUACACAUGAGGCAGGCACAAUGGCGAAGGAAAAAAAAUAAACACUAAAAUUACAUAUAAAUUUUAAUUUAAUAUAUAAUAGGUUUAAUACAUAAUUAGGUACCUAAACUCGAUAUUUUUUUUCUAAUAUGGUGCCUAUUUUAUUUUUUAAUGCAAUAUGAUAUCUUUAUUUUACAAAACUUAUACAUUUUGGUAGGUAAAAUGUUAACCUUUUAGUGUUCAAUUUAAAUUUUAGAGUUAAUUUGACGAAAAUUCAUAAUUAGCUAAUAAUAUUAGUAAUUUAAAUAUAAAAUUAAACAAAUUCACAAUUAACACUAAAUUUAUUUUAUUAACAAAAUCAUGAAAAAUUCAAACCUAAUAAUAUUAGUAAUUAACUUUUCAGCAAAUUAAUCUUACAACCUAUUGUCAAAUAUUUAAGUACCAAAAUAUGUAACUAUUGUCAAAUACAUGUACUAAAUUGGACAAAAAAAUAACACGAUUAACACAUCAAGAAAAAGCAUAUCUUUAACACAAUACGGACACUUACUUAUUAUAUACAUAAACAAUUAUAUUUAAAUUUCAAGAGUUAUUUCUUUAAUGUGUUGAUGCUUUUAUAGGCUAAAAAUUGCAUAAUAACACCUUUUGUUGUGUUCUUAAUUAAGAUUCUCAUUUUAAAUGUUUAUGGUCUUUAGAUUUUAGUGUUCCUAUGUAUAAUCGAAUCAAAAUCAAAUUAUCAUUCCAUAAACACUACACUGAAUACUCAAAUAAGGGGCUAUAAAUAAAAAUACUAUAAGAGAAGGGAUGUUAUUACUCUAGUUAUAGUUCAAGUAGAGGCAUCCUACCGGUUACUGUGAAAUCUUUAAAACAGGAAAAGCAAUGACAUCUCGGAUGCUGGCGGAAUCCGUCAAGAGCAUCACCAACCUGUCGAUUCCAAGUCCCUACAAACAACCAUGUUCGAAGUUAGGUUUUGUCAGCAACACAUGAUAAUUAUAUAUGAAUCCCCCCACUUCUGAAACUCAGAACAACAGUGCAAUAGCAUAUAAAUAAUACAAAUGGAUGGACCACAUUGCAACCAAAAAGCUCGUGCGGCCUGCAUAGGGAGGAGCAGUCCAGUUGGUUCGGUUAAAAAAGAUACAAAAACUGACUUAAUUGAUCAACUUAGGUCUUAACUGACCUAACCAAACUAAUUUCAACACCGAUCAGUUAAAAAGGUUAAACCAAAUUGGGCUGGCUUUGGGGUUUUGGAUAAAAAAAUUUAUAUAUGCAUAUUUUAAUAUUAGAAGCGGGCUAUGUAAGUUGGUUUGGUAAAAAAAAUUCAUAACCGAUAACUAUGCACUACAAGACCACUUUAACCAUCAUAACCGACUCAGGCAAAGCCAGUGAUUAAGUCAAUUUGAACAGAUUUUCGCUCACCCCUACCCAGGCAUAAGACCCCCUGUAAGCAAGGUCCGCAGAAAAUCUCAAUUUCUGUAGCCUUCCCUCCAUUUACAGAGGGAACCCUGAUCAACCGGAUGGACCACAGUGCAACCAUCUUUUGUAAUAUAUAUAAAUGCAUGCCAGCAACAUGGAAAACUUAAGAGCGUGUGCAACAAAAUGAAUCCAAUCCAAAAGUAGAAGUCAUAACUCAACCCAGCAUGUGAAUUGAAUAGGUGGAACUGAUUAUUUUUGACAAACUCAACAACGAAAAAUAAAUGCCAAUAUCUGCAAACAAGAAGACGAGUUUACCAUUCCUGAAGCUGGAGGCAUUCCAUAUUCCAAAGCAGUAAGAAAAUCAUCAUCAAGAGUCACUUCAUACAUGGAGUCCUCAUCUAUAUUCUUUUGCUCUCCUGUGCCAUCCGUGACUGAAACAGCUUCUGCUCUCUUCUUGUUAUGUUGUCUUACUUGCUCUUCCAGGCGAGCUCUCUGCCGCAGUGGGAAACAAAUGACGAUAUUUUAGAUUUCAAGUUAAAACCAAAUUGAAAGUCACUGUUCACAAGAACAUUAGCAAUGAUAUCUCAUAAAUUAUGCUAAAAGAGACUUUGUAAGACUCUUCAACCAUGCUUUUUAUCUUCAAAGCCACUAAACGAAUAAGCGUCUCAAGAAAGGGAAGUGUACAGGCUGUGCUAUAUAUGAACCUGCGAUGCACCAAUCAAAUCACCUGUUCCAAUCCAUUCAUUGCCUAUUUAUGUUACUUGUUGGAAGCUAUUCACAUAGAAAUAACAAUCUAGUAAAUAAGAUUCAUAAGCGCAAAUAGACUUUUCUAUAAUCAAUAAAAGUAUUUUAAAGUUGCAUCGAUUUUAAGGGGCCAUCUUUAUAGAUUUGAUUUCAAGUUAUUGACACACUUGCAUAAUUUACACUAUAAGUAGAAAAGAAUAAAUCAUUACUACUUGCCCCAGACCAACUAAAAACCACUACCAUGACUUAUGCUGAUGGUUUAAAUAUCCGAAUACAAAGAAUAAGCAUCUCUAGCAUAUUAAAGAAAAUGUAAUUCAUACCUGGUCCAAAGGAUCAGUCAACUCCGAGAAUGCAUUGGCCAGUUCACGACCACAUAUGAAGAGUUCAAAUCUCUCAGUCAAACCUGCAUGCCUAUUUUCCAGAGAACUUAGAGUAAGUAAUUCUGAAAGUGGAGACAACAAUAUGCACAAAUCCCUACAUAAAAUUGCACCAGUUCCUUGUAAAACUUCCAUACCUCCGGUGAGGUUUGGCAAGAGGAGAUAUUUCAAUGGGAUAGUCCAAAACAAAUGUAGGUUGCAGGAGCUUCGGUUCAACAAAAAUUUCAAAAACCUGAAGGCGAAUAAAUAAACCAAAGGCUUAUUGCAAGUUGAAACUAGCAGUGAAACUUAGGUUGCAAGCUGAAGAAACUUCGGGCAUUACUUUAUUGUUUUUUUCAAGCUUAGGGUGAAACAGGAAUUGCAUUACCUUGUGUGAAAUGUAUUCAGUUUUUCAAUCGCUAAGAAUACUUUCAUUCCCAAUGUGCAAAUAAUUUUCUGUUGCAGCAUUUUGCAAUUAACUCUAUAAGGAACUAAAAUUCAUGGAACAUUAAUGAAGACUGACCUCAUUAAGGAGGUGGCCAAGUGAAGGGCAAGCUUCAAUGGAAGACUUGUCCUUACUAUCGAGACCAAGCCCAACUGCCUUCAGAACAACAUCUUUAGCAACUUUAAGAUCAUCUUCCAAUUCAGUGAAAUCAACCCCAGUGACUUCUUUAACAAGAUUGUGCAUGGUUUCCCUCCGCCAUGGCCGCUGCAACUGUAUCUCAGUCCCCUGUAUAGAAGGCAUACAUUAGUAGUUUCAAUCUGUUCCAGACAGAUAAAUUUUUUUUGAAAAAAAAAUGAUAUUUAGAACUUCCAGAAAUGAAAUUAACUAUUUUUAUUAGCCAUGAGAUGCACUACCUGGUAAUCAAUGGUGAGCUUUCCAUUAACUUCAAGAGCACAUUGGGUCACAAUUUCCUCGGCCAUGUCCAUCAUACUCUGAUAGUCUGAAUAUGCUUCAUACAUCUAAAACCAUUUAAAAAGAUGAUGAUUAUCAGGGUUCAAAAAUACAAAUUUUAAUGCUUAAAAUCAUCUGAAGCAAAUUUGCACUGCCAAGCACACAUCAGUGUUUGAUAUUUUUAUAAAUACCUCAAUGGUAGUAAAUUCAGGAUUAUGACGAGUAGAAAUGCCUUCGUUUCUGAAUAUCCGACCAAUCUCAUAUACUUUUUCAAAUCCCCCAACCUGUUAUUAGAAGAUAAAAUAUUGUUGGCAGUAUAAACUUAAAAGCCAAACAAAUAUCAGAAUCAGACGUUAAAGAUGAAAGAUAAAAGAAAGGGGGAAAAACAAAAGAAUAAAUCAGUAUUAUCAAGGGUGCAAGCCACUCUCUAGGCAUUAGAACCCUUGUAUUCCACAAGGCACAAGGCCCAAAAAAAUUAUUUAACUCAGUGAAGGCACAAUAUGUCUACAUGUUCGUUUUUCUACAUCUGUUUGUGUAUCUAUUAUAAGUUAAUGUUUUAAUUGAAAGAGUGGUCUGGUUUAUUCCACAAAAAGAUAAAAAUUUACAUUUUUUUCCACUUCUGUAUGAUCCUAUGCCUAGUGUUGAACAAUCAAGUAUUGGAAUGUAGAGAGUUUGAAGUUAUUCCCUUUCCUAAAAAUUAGCACAAACUCCUCAGUUUCAUCCCAAGGUUUAAAUACCUGAAGCUGCAAAGCCUUUUUAUUAUUAUUGAGGAAUCAGGCCCCCGGGGGGGGGGGGGAGUCACCAAAUUUUGCAUGGAAAAUGGUAACUAAAAUGUUUAGGAUCUCACCAGCAUUCUCUUCAAGUGAAGUUCAGUUGCAAUUCUUAGAUAAAGAUCCCUUCCAAGGGAGUUAUGGUAUGUCACAAAUGGCCGUGCUUCAGCCCCACCAGCUGCUCCCUAGUUGAUCAAAUUAAUUAGUUAAAUUCCCCGAAAACAGUAUUGCUUUGGCACCACUAAACAAAGUAGAGGUAAAUAUAUAAUGCAAUAAGUACUAUAAUCAUAGAUUUUAUGUAUCGAAAAAAAUUAGUAAUAUAUAAUUUUCAGAAAAAUGCAAAAACUUAAGUGACAACUUUUUUGAGUGUCUUCUGAAAUGUUUCCUGUAUGAAAAUGAAGCAAAAUGAUUCCAUGGAAACUAAUCACAUAGAAAAAAGAAUAUCUUCAAAGCCUCUAAGGAGAACUCAGCUCCUCCAUAACCCUAAACUUCAACAUAACUUUUUAGCUCAAUCAGUUGACUUCCUCUCAUUGUCCCACCUAUCAUACUUGCAGCAAUAUGGUUCCAUAACAAGAAAGGCAUUGAUCUAAUGCUGGCUGCUAAUUUUAGUGCCCUUGUGCUUCUUGAUUUGCAUUUGCCAAUUUUUGUAGAUCAUAGAUGGAAGAGAAUCUUUGACUGUUUACUGUUUUUCUUGUUUUCUCUAUGCAUUCCUCAAAGCAGUAAAUACAAAUUUAUUCCAGCAAAACAUUUAAUAUGUUAACAACCGCACAAAUUUAGACUGCCAAUACUAUUUUUUAUGAAAACGAAGACGUAAAUUAUUUCGUUUUUCAAAAACCAAACAAACCAGUCAAUUUUUUCCUUUGGAGACUUCUGCAAAUUAGUUUUACAUAUUGCUCUAAAGAACAGAGAAGAAUUUAACCUUUUCCUAAGUAGGCUUUUGACAUCAAAGAUAGAAAUUUUAAAAGAUAAAGAGCCAUGUGAAUUCACAUCUCCACCUAGAAGAACUCACAUUUCUUUUGCCUAGUAGUGUUCAACAAGAAAAAGCUUGAAGAAGUCAGAUGAAAGAUGAUUCAGUCAAGAAUCAGCAAAAUAUGUACCACCAACACCUAGGAAAACUAUGAAUUUUAUUCACAAACCUGCAGAACUGGAGUUUCAACUUCAACAAAACCUCGAGAUUCUACUGUCUUUCGUAUCUCCCUCAUGAUCUACUAUAAGAAAGGUUAUUAAGAAUACAAUUUCAAUGUGUCAAAGCUCAAAUCACAUAGGCACCAGAAAAACAAGACCUACACACACAUGAACAUACAUACAUGUCAAGCAAUCCAUAACUUAAACCAUUUAAUCAAGUUCAUACAGCUCUAAAUAGACAACCAGAUGGCUCAAAUAUUUUUCAAGUCAAUAACCAUUAUUAAUGAGGAAAAAGAAUCGUCACAAAAAAAGUCAGGAAGUAAAUGCUUUCCUCCAAACAAGAAUUAGUAUUUUACUAAAGAAACAAGCUUGCUCAAGAAUAGAAAAAAUCAGACAAUAACAAUAAUUAUACAAAUGGUAAAAUCAGAAAGCUAGGCUACAGUAGAAAAUUGGAGAAAAGGUUUAGGUUUGGAUCAACAUCCAUCUAUGACACUUAAUAUUCAUUUGUUACAAAAAUUCGAGAAAUGUUAGUGCACAUUCAAAAAGCAAGGGUCUCGGUAUAAAUACCUGGUCCACCAUUUAUUGCUCAACAAAUCAGGCUAUUAACAAAAUAUUACCACCCACUAAAUUUUUUGACAAAUUUCUGCUAAAACCAAUGACUAUAUGAUUUUCACCAUGACUAAGACAAAAUUCUGCAUGGUUUACCUAAAGCAAGAAAGGUAGAAUAUUUGAAGGAAAAUGAAAAAUGCACAGCAUAAUAAUUCCUUCAUCAUAAGAAUAUAAACUGAUAUAAUGAGAGAGACCAACCAUGUAAACCAACUUAUAUGUAGUUUUAUUGAAGAUGGAAUACACUAUACCCUAAAAGAACAAGCAAUUCUUCCUUGGUUCAAUGAGCAACCAGAUGGUGAUUAGAGUGUAAAAGUGACUCUAUACAGUAGAGGCACAAUAACAAAAUGAUUAAAAUGUCACAAAAACAACCUGAUAGCAAGAAAAACAAAAGGUAAUUUCAAUAUCAUUCCAAAUGUGGAAAUACAUCACCUUUGCUCGUUUCCGGAAUAUGUCAGCUACUUCAGGAUUUGCAAUCAUGUCAACAUACCUAAACAUGGGAGGAGGAGGAAAUAAUGGUCAAAGGGGUGAAACAUUCCAUCAAUAUCAAAACAAACACCAAGAAUAAAACAUAUAAAGAACAAACAAAUCCCAAUGGGUUAUAUUCACUUAAGUAAGAGUUAUGAUUUAAAAAAGCCUCCUUGAUGCAAUUACUAAUAGCUAAAUUAAGGAUAUUAGUAACGCAAUGGUAUAAAAAAACUACUGAUAAUUAUGCUUAAUAAAGACAAGUGAAGGGGGGGGGGGCAAAUAUCCAGCAAAAUAAAUAGAGGAUCUCAGUAGUUUGACUGAGUGCGUUAUAAGAUGAUUCAACAUGAAUAUCAAUAAACAUAAAAUAGAAGAUGAAGUUAACAACAAGUCACCUUUGACGGUAUCGCUUAUCAAUGUCGGUUAAACCAUGAAACUUGUCCGGCAGUGGAAGUAGUGAUUUAGUAAGGAUUGAAAAAGAAACUACCUUAACAGAAAGCUCCCCUGAACAGUGAAGCAGAAAAAACCAUACAAUAAAAUACACUGAUAGAGAUUAAAAUAGAAGCAACAAUGAGAGUAAAUUCACUGUAAAUGAAGUAAGCUCACCUUUCUCAGUCCGCUUGAUAGAGCCAGAAGCACCCAAUAUAUCACCAAUAUCAACAAGUGUCUUUAACUGCUCAAAUUGAUCAUUCAAAAGCCUUUCUUUCUCACAGUAUAGCUACAAUCAUUUGAUAGAAAUACAAUAAUCUAACAAUGUUAAUGAAUUAUAGCAGAAACACUACAGAUUAUAACUGAAAAAGGGGGAAAAAAAGAGAAAAAAAAACCUGAAUAGUGCCGGAAUCAUCUCUUAAAGUGAGAAAAGCAAGCUUCCCAAAGGCUCUACGAGCCACAAUUCGGCCUGCAAUAGAAACAUGGUGGCUCUCACUAUCCAACUCUUCGCCAUUGUUUAGAUCCUUGUAUAUUUCUUGAAGCUCCUUAGCACUGUGACUCCUAUCCCACUUAUAACCGUACGGCUCCGUCCCUUUGCUCCGCAAUUGCUCUACUUUUUUCAGGCGGAUCGCACGGACGGCUUCACGGUCCGAAGUGUUAGUGGAAGUGGAUGUGGAGGUGGAAGCGCGGCGGUUGCGAGAGGGCAACCUUGUGUUGGUGGCGUUGGCGGCGGCGGCGCCAUUGUCUAAGCAGCGGACUAGGCCAGAGGAAGUACCUAAUCCAAAUAGUUGCCUCAAAUUCGAAGGCCUUGCAAUGGAUGAAGAUAACCUCCAAACCUUCAAGCCCUCCAUCUUCAAAUUGCUUUAUGCUUUUUGCUGUUAUUACCAGUUUACCACUACUACCACUCUUCUUCCUCAUUUUAUCUGCUAGUCCAUCUUCGAACUUUUUCCAUUUUUCUUGUUGGUCAAAUUUCCCAUCAGGUCCCUGAAUUUGAAUGAAGUUUUAAAUUUAAUCCCUACACUUAAAAGAAUUCAAUUUAAUCAUUCGUGCUCAAGUCUCACCAUUUACAAUUGCAACCCAUGCCAUGAUGAAUUUUGUCUGAUUCUUUCAUAUUCUUCGUGCAUUGUAUUUUGUACUAAUUUGAUAAUACAUUGUAAUUACUUAUAUUUAUAACAGCUCCAUUUAUCUAUCAAUAUUUUAUCUGUCGUAGAAAAGUGGUUAAAAAACAUAUAAGAGGUACAUAAAUUAUUGUUUUUAUGCAAAUUUUUAUUUUACAUUCUUCUACAUGAUUAAUUAUGAAGUGUCUAAAAAUCGUAUAAAAGGUGCGUGAAUUAUUGCUUUUAUGCAAUAUUUUAUUUUAAAUUCUUCCACACGAUUAAUUAUAAAGUUUAUAAGUUUAUGAUGUUCUUAAUUCGUAAUAAAAUAUUUAAUUAGAAAAUUUAACCAUAUAUUAAAUUUAUAUUUUUAAUUCCACUCAUUAAAGAUUAUUUUCAUUUAAUAAAAAACUAUUAAUAGAUUUUUUUCCUGUGAAAUUUGAAUAUUUUGUUGAAAUAAUAUUAUAAUUAAGAUUAUUUUUAUUUAAAAAUAUAAUUAAUAUACUUUCUUAUAUGCAAUGUUUAUAAUUUUACUUAAAAUUUAUGACAAUAUGUUAUUAUAAAUAACUAAUUUAAUGAAAAAAAAGAAUUUCCUAACUAUAGCUAUUAUUGUUAUAAGUGAAAAAGUAUUAUAUAGCAUUAAAAUAAAACAUAAAAAAUUAUUUUACUAUAAACUUGGUUAUUGUAGUGAAAUAUUAUUAUAGAGGCUACUGUUAUAGAGAGGGUUGGCUAUAGUUUAAUUGUUGGGUUAAAAUAUGCCAUAAGUUCGUAUACUCUUUAAAAUUUUAAAAUUUAGUCCUUGUACUUUUUUAUACAAAACUUAGAAUUACCUAUAACCCCUCCCUAGUCUUUGUACUUUUAUUUUUAAGAAUUCAGUCUCUCUAAUUUUUAAAUUUUUAAAUUUAGGUCCAACUGUUAGCAUUAUUUGUUAAAUUUAGGUUCAUUGCUACCAAGUGUUUUUUUUUUUCAAAACGUGAUACCAAAAACUUUAACAGUGAUAACAAUUGGACUUGAAUUUUAAAAUUUUUAAAAUAAAAGACUAAAUUAUUAAAAUAUAAAAAUAUAAAAAUUAAAUGCCAAAUUAAAAUUUCAGAAAAAAUUGAAUAUACUUCAUAAAAUUAUAAAUUGUUUAAUUCAUUUUUUAUAUAAUUAGUUCAAAUUUAGAAUUUUAAUAUUAUUUAUUUUAAUUUAAUAUAAUUAAUUUCAAUUUAUCAGUUUACAUAUUUCACUUACAUUUUAAUUAAUUUCUCCAAACUUUUUAAAUUUAUUCAAUCUUUAAAAAUGUACACAAAAUAUAUGCUUCUUAUCAAGCCAAGCUUGAGAGCUAUGUUAGGCCAUUUUGACCAUUUUCCUAAUCAGGCCAGGCUGAGUGAGGAUCAAACUAAGAAAUCUGUCCAAAAAAUUGGACCUAUAAUCUAUUUGAGUUUUGAGUAUUAAAACUUUUUGAAAUUGAGUCGCGGUAAAUUAUAAAUGGGGCAAAGCUAGAAACUUUUAUUAAUGAGUCAGAAUUAAAUUAUAAAAUUUUGGCGGUCAAAAUAUAAUUUAAUCAUUAGAUUAAUUUAUAAUUUUAUAUUUUUUAGAGAGGUCAUGCAACAAUUUUACCAUUUUGGACAAAGCUAAGGCCUCGGCUAGGAUAUUUACCUAAGCCCAAAGGUUAACAUGAUAUUUUAAAAGAUUUGUACGCCCAAAGGUUAACAUGAUAUUUUAAAAGAUUUGUACAAAAAUUAGGCUCGGGAAUUGGGGUUGGGUAAAAUUAGACCUGUUCAUGGGGUGGGUCACCCGACCCAAAAGUUAGCCCGAAAAAUGAGAGGGUUUGAAUAAAAUAUAGGCAUGAAAAGUGAGCUUGGGGCAAAAAAUAAGGCCCAUUUGAAAAAUGGGUCAAGCAUCGGGUAAGACUUUUUUGGUAUUAAACUCAACUCGGCCUGACUUGAAUAUGCCAAAAAAAAAGUUGGAUUUUUUUACUGUUUUCUUGCUUUUUUUAACUUUUUUUAUUGCUAUUUUCUUGUUUUUUUCCCAUUGUUUUGCUAUAAUUUCGUUAUUAUAUUGUUGUUAUUGUUUGGAUAUUGUAUAACCUUGUUUUAUUCUUAAUUUUGUUAGUAUUUUAGAAGCAUUUACUUGUUAAGUUGCACCUAUAUUAGUGUUAUUUACAUAUACAUAUUUUUAAUUUAUUUUCAAUUUGUUGGGAAAUAUUUAUUUUAAUAUUUUUAGUAUUUUUAAUUAUAUAUAUGUUUAAAAAUUAUAUAAAAAUAAUAAUAUAAAAAAAUUAAUAUGGGCAGGUCGAACUCGAGUUUUAGCAUUUUUUAUCCGGAUCAGACUUGCGUAAAAUUUUAAGCCCAUUUUUCAAGUUGGGCCGAACCCAACAACCAGGCCUAAAAUUUAAGUUGGCCCGGUCCAUGAACACCUUUAAGUAAAACAACUCGAGCUCCAAUAUUCUAAACUUAACUAGACCAUUUUCAAACUUUUGCUAUUUGUUUAUAUUUUAUAUGCAUAUUAUAUAGUUUGUAUUAUAUUAUAAAUUAAAUAUUUUAUCGAAGCAAACAUUACAACUUUACAACUAUUGAAGAAAAUAGGGGUGAAGCUAGAAAUUUUGUUUAGGGGAGUCGAGAUAAUAUUAUAAAAUUUGGGGGGUCAAAGUUAAACAUUUUGCAUUAAAAAUGCUUAAAUUAAAUUAUUAAAAUUUCAAAAGGACUAAAAUUAUAAUUUUUCUAUUUAAUCAAAUGUUAAAAAUGACUAAAUUAAAUAUUUUAAUUUUGAAGAAGGGCUAUAAAGUAAUUUUUCUAUUGAGCCAAGAGAGCCAUGGCCUUUACCUGCCUCCUUCGGCUGCCUCUAGGAGCAAGAGGGGAAGGGCCCUUACCUGCAUUAAGUUUUGUUAUUAGAACAAUAAAUUAUAAGCAUAUUUUAUAAUAGAUAAUAGAUAAAUACCCGAAUAAAUUUAAUCCAAUAACCCAAAGUUGGUUAAUCAAAAAAAUUAAUCGAAUCAAAGUCAGUUCGAUUUGACUAGUUUUUUUUACUUAAGUUGGUGUCGAGAUAAAAUUUAAAAAUUUGUAUUUAAAACAACUAGAAAUUUAACUUCCAAAUGGGUAAAAAUGCAAAUUUUCCAAUUACUUUUGAAAUACUAAUAAUACAAGUACUAGAUUAACAAUUAUACCUUUUUUGCAAUUACUUUUGAAAGUCACCUAAUUAUCACUUUAGACUAUGAAAGGGUUUAAUUGAAAUAUUCUACACUUCAUUGUUUUGAUACCGAAAUUGCUAAGAAAAUAUGAGACAAACUUUUUAGGUCAAAAGUUCCACUUUUUAAUCUUUUUUUUGCCAUUCUUAAUAUAUCACUAAAUUAAGUCAAGCAAAGGGCAAGAUACAAUAAGGUCUUCUAUUAUACCUUUAAUUAAAAAAAAAUUCACAUUCACCUAACUCAAUUGACUUCAAAAGAUUUUUAUAUUCCAAUUGCACCCAAAAAUAUAAUAAUAAGAAAUUAGGUUAGGUUUUUCAGAUUCAAAACCAUUUUGAUUAACAUAAAAAUAUUUUACUUUAAAUAAAUGAGAUAAUGAUUUUUUUUGUGUAAUAUUAGAGGUAGAAUAUGGGGUAAUAUGGUUUGAACUCAUGUCAAGUGGGUGUAUGACAAGAGUCAGGGGUGAAGCUAAAAAAGUUUUGAGGGGGGACCGAAAUUAAAUUGUAUAUUUUUACGAUAGUAAAAAUGUAAUUUUAUCAUUUUAAUAGUCUAUAUCUUUAUAAUUUUUAAAGGAUUAAAUUAAUUUAAACCUACCUAUACACGCCAAUUUGUUUGUAGGAAUUCGAACACAGCACAGCCGAUUUGUCUUCCCAACUGUACGUCAAACAACUCUAACUCAACGUGCACUUUUUGAAUUGAAGAUGAAUUAACUUUAAAGAACGAAUUUGUACUAUCUUAUAUUGAGAGAUUUUUUGAGUGAGUUCGAAUCUCACGAUUGUUUUGUUGAAGUAAUUUUUGGGCUAAAGUUAAAAAGAGCUUAAUUAAUGAAAGAAUCAUGCUUGAAAAUAAAUGGUGGAAAGUAAAAAGAACAUUGGAAGGUAAUUAAACUAAAAGUUAAAAGUAAAAAGAAUUGAAAAUGGCAGAAUGAAAAAUGACGUAGGUAAUGAAAAGGAAAAAAAAAUGGAAUUUAUUAAAGCCUAAAGCCAAAGUGUGUGUAAUUGGCUGUAACCACUAGGUAUUUAUAUAUACUUUUAGUGUUAAAAUUUAGUUAGAUUUUUCUUAAAUAUUAUUACUAAAUAAUUCUAAAUUUAAAAAUCAAAUUUAAACUAGAAUUUAAAUUAAUUACAGAGUUGUAACAAUAUAAAAAAUCCUUCGAUCUUGAUCCAAUCACUUUUAAAUAGAAGAAUAAUGCACUUCAGCGCACUUCAACUCGCAUUAACAACAAUACCAAUACCAAUUGAGUUAAGACUGAAUCAACUACUCACUUUGAAAAUUAACAGGUAUUAAACUGCUUUAUUUCUUUUAGAAAGAAACCAAUUUAUUGAAUAUCGAAAUUGAAAAUUUAUAAAAAAUCCUAUUUAUUAUUGUGUCUAAUCAUAUUCUCAAACAAAUUUUGUUUUAGAAAAUUAACUAAAAUAUAUAUAUUUUUUAAUGUAAAUUCUUUCAUUCAAUAUCAUCAAUACAUUUAAAUUAAAUUAAUCAUUCCCUUCUUUCUUUUUUCAACCCAAAAUCUUUUUCUUAAUAGAAAAUAGUUUCUUGCUUGUUUUAGUUAAAUUCCUUACUUUCAUACUUCAUAGUAGACGACAAGACAGACCAGCUUGGUGAAUGUUUAUUAUUAUAAUUACUAGAAUGGUAUGGCAGGGUCGAGGUUAGUCUGAAAAGUGAAAGAGUCUGUGAUGUGAGCAUGGUCACGUUAUGUUACGAUGCAGUUCGAAGAUGUUGAAAUUGACUCAAACACGAGGGGUUCAAGUGCAAAAUAAAAAUUGUCUUUCAAGAUGGGUCGAUCUUAAGGACUUUUAACUAAGUCUUAUUUCCAUUUAAUAAGUUUACAUUUUAAUUCCACAGUUUCUAUUUGCAUCAUAUUUAGGUGUUUCAUAUGUCAGUUGUGUUAUAAGCAUGAAUUUGUGUUCAUAUUUUAUGCGCGUGUUAAUUUGAUACAUGAGGGUGUCAUUUGUUUAUAUGCGUAUGAGUGUGGUCAUGGUGUGUUAAAUCUAUUUAUUUAUGCGUAUGAGUCUAGAGUUUAGGAUGUGUUUGCCUUGGCUGAAUUGUGGAAUGAUUUGUACAAGGUUUUGAUGCAUAUUUACAUGAUGUAGGUGACUAUUCAUGUGGACCAAUGAAGGACUCUUCAUCUAGCCAAAUUUAUGCACCAUGGAAGCAUCUAGAACCAACCUUCAACGAAGAUGCAUUGUGACCAUUUAAAUGUUGCUCAAGUAAAUGUCUUCGUACAUUUCUUAAUGAAGAAGAAUUCAUGAACAAAUCAAGAGCAAUGUGCCUUAUAAAUUUGGCCAUUGAAUAAGAAUAUACAUGCAUCAAAGUGGAGAAUGAACUUCAAAGAUUCAUGCAUCAAAUUCAUGAAACAAUAAGCUCAUUAUGGUGUCAUUAAUAGAAAUGCAUGCCCAUGCAUUAUACAUUCGGUCAAAGGGGAUGGUGUUGGAAAAAACGGGUUAGGAAAACACAACGGAAAAUAAAUUUAGGGAAAAACUAGAGUUUUAAUUUUUUUUUUCAAAACAAGAUUUUGGUUGUGAUAUCUAAAGUGAAAAACACUUAAUCAAAAUUGUACAUUUUCGAUUCGUCUAGGAUGAGCAAUUCAACCGAGUAGUCUUCUCUGCUAUCCUCAAGCUCACGUCUACCGAGUGUGGGCUCGUUUCGAAUCAGAAUUUUUUUUACAAAAAUUACCAGUGGGGUAAUUUUGCAAUUUCUCUUAACUUUUGGGUCAAGUUGUAAAUCAAAAAAAGAUAUCUAUAAAUUUUUUAAAAUAGACUCUUCAAAGAAUUUUCUCUUUACAACUUUCUCUCGAAUUCAAGUGCUUGUAAAAUAAAAACCCAAGGCUCUCUUUAUAUAGUGAAAUGUGAAAUGUGAAAUUAACUUUAUUUAUUUAUUCAUCAUUCAAAUAAAUAGAAAACGGUUAUCUGUUUACUACAAUAUGGGCACAUUUCCCGACAAUCUCUCACUUGCCCUAGUGAAGUAAAUGCGUCAUGUUUCGCAUUCUCAUAUCCUGUACGUAUUUGUUAAAACUACUAGUAAAAGAGUCUUAGUAAACGGAUCCGCAAGGUUAUCUUCAAAAGCUACUUUCAUCACAUCUACAAUUCCUUUGGUUACUGCCUCUCAUAUCAAGUGAUGUUUGCAAUCACUGUGUUUCGUCCUCUUGUGACUUCUCAUUUUCUUGGUAUUAGCUAUUGCAGCACUGUUAUCACAAUAUAAUGUUAUAUCUUUUUCCAUACCAGGAAUGACUUCAAGAUCGGUUAAGAACUUUCGAAGCCAUAUUGCUUCUUUCAUUACCUUAGAAGCAGCCACAUACUCGGCCUCCAUAUUAUGGCUCCAUGGUCUAGAACAAAUAUAUUUCUCGACGUCGAUUUCCUCGAACUUUUACAGGCUUGGAAGUCUGAGUUUGUGUAUCCAAUAGGAGUAGGUUCUCCCUAGAAUACACAAACAUAUAAUCACUGGUUCUUUUAAAAUACCUUAAUAUAUGCUUUACAACUUGCCAAUGUCUGAUACUUGGAUUCACUUGAUAUCGACUAACCAUUCCUACUGCAAAACAGAUAUUUGGAUGUGUGCAAAGCAUUGCAUACAUAAGGCUUCCGACUGUCGAAGCAUAUGAAACCUUACUCAUAUGCUCUCUUUCUUCUGCUGUCUUAGGACAGUCAUUUAAAGAAAAAUGAAAACUUGAUGCAAUCAACUAAACGUUUGCCUUCACAUAGGUAAUUGCAAAACGUUUCAGUACAUUAUCGAUGUAUGAAGCUUGAGAUAGAACUAUCGUUCUAUUCUUUCGAUCCCUGAGGAUUCGAUUCCAAGAAUAUAAAAAAGUAAAAUAAAAAAAAUUAUUACGGGCGCACCGAGCUUGGGUUUUAGAAUUUUCAUCCAAGUCGAGCUUGGGCCUAUCAAUCGGGUCUUGAAUUUUGUUACGGCCUGACCGACCCGACCCGACCCAUGGAUAACUCUAAUUGGUACAUGCUUCACAUUAGGUUGAUUAUUUGUUUGUGUUAAACUAUAAAGUAAAAUUUUGAAGGUUAAAAUAUGUUCUAGGUUCGUAUACAUUUUGAAUGUUCGAAAUUUAGUCCUUUACAUUUAUAUUAAAAACUUUAAUGCCUCUAAAUUUCAAAUUAAUAAAUUCAAGUCUAAUUAUUACUACUAUUCAAUUUUUUUAUGUAAAUUAUAGGAAAAUUUUAUGUCAAUAAAUUAUAGGCGUAAUGUUAAAUUUGGCUCUUAAUGUUUACAUCUUUUGUCAAAUUGACCCUUAUUCUUUUUUUAGUUGAAUUUGACCCUUAACCUUUUAAAAAGAGUUGAAUUGCUAUUUUUUUUAUGAAAAUAUUGACUAAAAUGUUAAAUUUUAAACAUGAUAGCUCGUACCAAGACAAAUAUUGUCAUGUCAACAUGAAGCAUCUGUCGACAGCCACGUAGGUUGCCACACAAACACCAUUAAAAAUUAAUAUUUUAACAAGCAUUUUCCGUUAAAAAAAAAGAAUUGAUUACUUUUUAAAAGGUCAGUAUCCAAAUUUGUCUAAAAAUAUAAAAGUCAAUUUAACAAAAAAAUUAUAAAUAUUGAGGACUAAAUUUAUUAUUAUACCUAAAAUAUAAUCAAUUUUUUUUAUUGAAACAAGAACAAAUUUUUUUUCAAAUGAACAAUCAAAGAAAUAACAAAGUGAAUUUCGUGGAAAGCACUUGGAAGAAUGAUGAUGGGUGGGUGCUUUUGGAUCAUCACUUUAUAUGAAAAUGACGAUUUAAACAAAAUAACCAAAGACUUAAAAAAGGAAAAACAAACUAUCGAAAAUGUUUCCUUUUUUUCUUUUGAAAAUUGACCUUUUUUUGGGAAAUUUUCGUUAGGUCCUUCCCUUUUUUUUUAAAAUCUUAUUAAGCCUCUUAACAUCUGUAAAUUUUUUAAUUAUAUCUUUUUUUUAAUUCAUUAAACCUUUUCAAAAUUUUAAUUAAAGCUUUCAGAAUUUUUUGAAAAGUUUUAUUAGCCUUUCAAAUUUUAAUAUCAUUAUUCGCGACUAAAGAUGCCUUUAGAUGAGCGGUUUGUUUACCUCUGAUAAAAUUAAAAACAGAGAUGACAGUGAAAUUAAUUACUGUAACUAUGAAGUCAAAGAUUGCACCGCAUCACAGUUACUGCCCAUCCAAAGACACCCUAAAUAAGUUACUUCCAAUAAAUGCACUUUUUAAUAUUUUAAAUUUUUUUUAUAUUCCACCGGUGCAAGAACGAGAUUGUAACCACUUCAACUAACAACUAGUUCACUACUAAAAAAAAGUUUAAUUAAUUGUUCUAAUAUAAUCGAUCAUUACAAACUGAAUGACUAAUACUUUAACUUUAAUUAACUAACUAACUAACUAGAAUAAAUCUAAUUACGAGCUAAGAAUUGAAUAACUAAUUUAACUCUAAUAGACUAACUAACCAGAAUAAAUCUCACUACUAACUCAACGAUUAGCUUAGUUCUAAUUAACUAAAUCUCAUUACCAGUACCAAAUUAAAUAACUAAUUUUAACUCUAACCGGCAAAAUCUCAUUACAAGUACUGAAUUGAUCACUUAACUCUAGAGUUGGUUAUGGGUAGGACUAGGUCAAGUAAAAACUUUAGGCACGUUUUUUAGGCCCGAGCUUGAAAAAUGGGUCUAAAAUUUUUCCGAAGCUCAGCCUAGAUAAAAAUGCUAAAACUUGAGCCUGACCCGGCCCGUCCGUAUUAAAUUUUUUGUAUUAUUUUUAUAUAAAAAUAAAUUUUAAAAAUAUAAAAUAUCAAAAAUAUUAAAAUAAAUAUUCCCCAACAAAUGGAAAAAAAUAAAAAUAAAAAUACUUAAAUAACACUGAGAUAAGUGCAACUUAGCAAACAAAUACUUCUAAAAUAAUAGCAAAAUUAAUAAUAAAAUAAAAGUUAUACAAUAUCCAAACAAUAACAACAAUAUAAUAGCGAAAUAUAACAAAACAAUGAAAAACAGUAAAAAAAAAAGAAAGCAAUAUUUCUUUUUGCAACUUUGGGUCAAGUUUGGCAAAAAUGCUUACCCCAGGUCUAGCCCAUUCAAAACCGAGUCUUAUUUCUUGUUUAAGCCCAUUUUUCGAGUUUAUAUUUUCGUCCAAACCCUCUCACUUUUCAAACGAGCCUUCAGGUCGGGCCAUAUAGACAAGUUUACUUAACUCUAGUUACCUAAAUUUCAUUACAAAUAUUGAAUUGAAUAACUAACUCAACGUGAUUUAACUCUAAUUACCUAAAUCUCAUUAGAAGCACUGAAUAGAAUAAUUAACUUAACUCUAAUUGACUAACUAAUUAAUAAAAAUAAAUCUCUAGAAAAAAACAAUAUAUUUAUAUAAUAUGAGACUCGAUUUUAAAAUUUCAAAAUUUAUAAAUCAUAAACUUUUCCAUUAUACCAUUAUGCCCCCCUAAAAAAAAUUUUCCCCAUUCAACCAAAAGCAUAAAUACUAUGCAUUGUUUGGCAUAAGCUUAGCCAAUCAUUUUGAUGACAUUAAUAAGGUACACAUUUCUUAGUGGGUUCCAUCCUCAAGACGUUAAUCAUGAAACCAUUAGUAGCAGUGAAACAUUUUUGUGUUGUCUUUUAAUUAGUAAGAUGCAAUUAUUACUCCACUUAUACUAUUUUCUGUUUCAAAAAAAUAUUAUUAGUUAAAUCUGUAUUUAUAAGUGUAUAUAUAAUGAGUUUUUAAUAAAUGUAUUAAAAGUCGGUUGAGUUUUAGUUCAGUUGGUAUUGGUAUUGACAUUGUUGUCAGUGUAGAAGGACGUGGGUUUGAGUGUGCUAAAGUGUAUUUAUCCUCAUAUUUAAACUGUUGUGAUGGGUUAUUGAUUGUUCUAAGUAUUCUAUCAAUUAGAGGCGAUCAUAGGUUGAGUUGCACUAGAAUUUUAGGCCUGUUCUUUUACUCAAGCCUGGCCCGAAUAAAAAUAUUAAAAUCUGAGUCCAACUGGGCUCGCCUGUAUUAACCAUAUAUAUUAUAUUAAAUUAAAAACUACCAAAUGAUGAUAAUGAAUGGAUUAUAAUUUUUAAAUUAAAAAAGUUAAAGGAUUGAAUUUUUAACUUUUAAAAUAUAAGGACCAAAUUCCAAUUUCUAUACAAGUACAUAGACUAACAAAAUAUUUUAACCAUAUAUAUUAUAUUAAACAUAGUUGUCAGAUCAUUAUGGACCAAGGGCUGAACGGAAAAUUAGUGGUCUAAUCGAUUCAAAUAGUACCCUAAAAUUAAAGGAGGAUUGAACUAAUGUAAAAUCAAUUGGACUGAUAAAAAUUAGUUAAAAAAUCGUUUGAACCAGAUAAAAAGGUAAUUUAUAUUUAUUUAUUUGAUUUUGUUAUUAUAAUUUAUACAACAAAUGUUUACAUUAUUAUUAUUUAUUUAUUUGAUUUUGUUAUUAUAAAUUAUACAACAAAUGUUUACAUUAUUAUUAUUUAUUUAUUUUUAGAAUUUUCUAAAAAAAUUAUAAUGAUUAAACCAAAAAACUAGUAAUUUAAUUGAUUCAAUUACUGAUUUAAUUUUUACAAUAUUAAUAUUAAGAGGGGUGUGGCUAAGGGGGCUAGCCGGGGUCUCGCCUCCUAAAAUAGAAUAAUUUUCAUUUAGGCCCUUUAAAAUUUUUAAAAUUUUAAAUUAAUAAAUAUAAAAUUACACUAUGACCCCUUAAAAAUGAUAAAAAUUUAAUUUAGUCUUUUAAAAAUUAUAAAUAUAUAGACUAUUAAAAUGAUGAAAUUAUAUUUUUAUUAUUGUAAAAAUUAUAAUUUAAUUUUGAUCCCUAAAAAUAUUUUCUCACUUCGACCUUGAAUAUUAAACUAUUCUUUUAAUAUUGCAUGAUUGUUUUUUUUUUUAGUCAUCUUAGUUGUAAGUUUUUCCAACAUGGAAUAUAUUUAUAUAUUAAAUAUGUUAAAGUCUAGAGUUAAUUAAUAGGCCAAGUGCCAGUUCAAUACCAUAGAGUAUAUAUAUAUAUAUUAUAAUAUAUAUAUGCUAAGUAUCUUCUUUUUAUAUAUAUAGUUACUUAUAAAUGACAAAAAAAAUAACAAAGGAAACUGGAAAAAACAAUGCCAAACGGAUCCUAUAAGUAUUUUGUCACUAUUAAAAACUGAUUGAGAAUAAAUAGUAAAAAAUUAUAAAAAAAAAUAAAAAUCAAAUCAAAUUGGAUUUUAGUUUAAUUGGUAAAGUUAAAAUAGCAAAAAUUAUGAUUUUUAGGUUCAAAUCUCAUUAUGUGUAUGUAAUUUUAUAAAUUUCAUAUAAAAUAUAUAAAAAAAACUCCUAAAACGAUAUUUGUUUUUUUGUAAAAAUAAUGAGUUUUUUUUGGUAAUUUCACAACUGAGUCAAAACCCAAUUGAUGGAUGAUAUCAACUCAAAAAAAAAAACACAUUUGGUAACCAUGUAAAAUAAUAGUAUUGUAAUGAAUCUGAAUUUUACAAUUGAUUUUUAAAUCCAAAAAGUUAAAAGAUAAAAGUGAAGGGACUAAAUUUUAAAUAUACAAAAAUUACAAGGAGUUUGAACAAAAUUUAACCUAUUUCCUUAAUAAAGUGCACACCUCACAAAUUAAAGUUGGAAAAAUAAAUGAUAAGCUACCAAUAUUUUGACCAUAAAAUUAAUGUUACCUUUCCGUAAUGCUAUCUCACUGAAAGACCUUUUUUUCUUAAUAUUAAAAAAAUAGGUUUAAAUGCACAAAUAACUGACUUAAGAUGGUCCUAAAAAAUAUUUUUUUAAUAAAAAUUAGGUUUAGUUUGGAACUAUUAUAUAUAUAAAUAUAUAAUUUAUUAUCCUUCCCGUGAGUGUGCAAUACAAAAUGUUGUCUCUUUUUAACUAACAUUUUAUUUAAAAUAAGAUGAGUGGAGUAAUAGUGUUAAUGAGUUGAGUUGGAUUAAAAUUUUAAUUUAAUAUAUGUAUUUUUUAAAAUUUUAAGUACGAAUUUAAGCUUAAUUAAAUUUGAUUCGUUUAAAUAAUAAAUAUAUUUUAAGAUUAUUUAAUUGAAAUUUGAGUUGAAAAGAAUUAAUUGAGGUCAAUAAAAUAUUUUUUCAAGCAUUACUCAAAGUGAGCGGAUUAAUUGGAUUAGGUUAGUUAAUUGAGUUAAUUGGACGAACCAUUUGACAGAUAACGAGUUUAAUAGAAAUGGGAUCAGGAAUAUUAAAAUCGAGAUAAUUGGAUUGAGUUAAUCCGAGAUAAAACCGAGCUAACCGUGCCAGACGGAUUAUUGGGAUAUGAACAGGUUUAGUGGAAAGUGAACCGGGUCCAAGCACGGUCUAAAUAAAAUGAAGGAAAGCAUUGGCGUGUUUAGCGUGGAUUACAAAAGCUAAUUUUCGAUUUGUUGGGUCAAUAUACUUUAUUUGCUUUUUUUAUUUAGAUAAGAUUGAGUAUAAUAAAUAAUUUUACUUAUAAAAAAUAUUUUAGUUUUUAGGUGAAAUUAGAUUUUAAAAAAAUAAAAAAUAAUAUUUAAUACUUAAUUUUUAUCUCACGUAUGUUAGUCUUAGAACUUGACAAUUUUUUUUAAUUUUUAAUUCGUGUGAUGGCAUAUCACUCUGAGGUUGUGCCACAUCACUAUCUACAAAAUUAUAAUCUUAAAGUGUCACAUCGUUGUAGAUGCCAGAAUUAGAACAUAUUGUCAAGUUCAGUGACUAAUAUGAAAAUAUAAAAAGUUUAGGGGUAAAAUUAGAAAUUAGAAAAGUGGUGAAGGCUAAGCAUUAUAAAAACCCAUGGCAAUACUAUGGAAUAAGUUUAUUUGAGUGUAAUAAAAUUAUUUAAAAAGGUUUUUGAACUUAGUAAUUUUUUCACUUUAAUCCCCCACAUCGAUUUUUGAACUUUGCAACUUUUCGUAAUUUUUAUAAUCAAGUGACACUUAUGUCAUGUCAUCUUUUAAAAGAAUUUAGGUGAUGAUAUGGCAUAAUUUUAGAGUGCCACAUCAUUAUAGGGAUCAAAAUUGAAAAAAUUAUCAAGUUUAAAGAUUAAUAUAAACUUAAAAAAGAGUUUUGGGAUUAAAUUAAAAAAUUGUUAAGUUUAAGGACUGAAUGUAGAAAAGUUGUGAAGGGUAUAGGCAUUAUAAAAACCCCUUAAUGUAUGCAAAUGAACUCACAAACAUAAACUCCUAAGAUUCCAAAGGUAAAAACUAUGGAGCAUUUCUAUAUCACCCUUUUGUUACUCUUUGUCUCCUUCGUAACUCUCUCCCUCUUCGUCCUUUUUUAUAAACACCGCUCCAAUUACUCCGCCGAUAACCUCCCUCCCGGCCGGCCAGGUUUACCCUUCGUUGGCGAGACCCUCGAGUUUCUCUCCACUGGAUGGAAAGGCCACCCGGAAAAGUUCAUAUUCGAUCGCAUGGCCAAAUACUCUUCCCAAGUCUUCAAAACCAACAUCCUCGGUGAACCAGCAGCCGUCUUCUGCGGUGUCGCCUGCAACAAGUUCUUGUUUUCGAACGAGAACAAGCUUGUUACCGCAUGGUGGCCGAGUUCCGUUGACAAAAUCUUCCCUUCUUCAUUACAAACAUCAUCAAAAGAAGAAUCAAAGAAAAUGAGGAAGCUAUUGCCUCAGUUCUUAAAACCAGAGGCUUUACAAAGGUAUAUCGGAAUAAUGGACGCCAUUGCCAAUGAACACUUUGCUUCUCAAUGGGAAAAUAAAGAACAAGUCCUUGUUUUUCCAUUGGCUAAAAGAUAUACUUUCUGGUUAGCUUGUCGGUUGUUUUUAAGUAUUGAAGAUCCUCACCAUGUUUCAAAGUUUGAAGAACCGUUUCAUUUAUUGGCUUCGGGUAUUAUUUCACUCCCCAUUGAUCUUCCCCGAACGCCAUUUAAUCGAGCCAUUAAAGCUUCGAACUUCAUUCGGAAAGAGCUUUUAAAGGUUAUCAAGCAACGAAAAGUUGAUUUAUCGGAAGGGAAAGCGUCGCCGACUCAAGAUAUAUUGUCGCAUAUGUUGUUGACGAGUGAUGAAAAUGGACAGUUCAUGACGGAAGUGGAUAUCGCCGAUAAGAUUCUUGGGUUGUUGAUAGGUGGCCAUGAUACUGCCAGUGCCGCCUGCACUUUCAUCGUCAAAUAUCUUGCUGAGCUUCCUCACAUCCACGAGCUCGUUUACAAAGGUAAUAUUCUUUUUCCUUUAAAACGUGAUACAUGCUCCACCAAUUCCUUCACUGGUGAGUACAGUUUUAAUUAAAUAAUUUAUUAUAUUUGCUAAAAACUCGAUUUUCUUCGUCCAAACUAAAAUACUAAUCAAUUUUCAAUUCAAUCUAUACACGUUAAUGGGUCAGGCUACUCGUUUAAUAUGAAUGUUAAAAUAGGUUCGGAUAAAAAAAAUUGAGUCCAUUUAGAAAAUAGGUUGAGCGCGGGCUUGAAUAUUCAAGGCCCAAGUUUGAUUCGUUUUAAGUUUAUAAUACUUUAUAUUACGUUAUUUUUAUAUAUUAUGUAAUUUAGAACACAUUAAAAAAAUAAACCUAUAUUAAAUAUAUAAUACUACUCUAAUGUAAACAUUAAAAUAAUUUUAAGAUCAAUGACUAUAUAAAAAAAUUUCAUAAAUAAAAAAAAUUAAAUUAUUAAAUAUUAAAAUAAAAUAAAAUAAAUAUAUUUUAAAAAAUAUGAGCGGAGUUAAAAUAGAAAAUACAAUAAUAAUAAAGGAAAUAAGCCACUUUUAAAUAUUUAUUAUUAAUAAAAUUAAAAAUAAUUAAAAAAAGGUUUAUCUUAAAAGUCUUAAAAUUUAAUCAAGUAUCUCAAAAACAAAAUAUAUUUAUUUUAUUAUUAUACAAUUAUAAUAAAAUAUAUUAUAAUUAAACUCGAAGUUCGAUCCGAAACGUCCCUUUUAUAUAUAUAUAUAUAUUUCUAAAGACUUUUAAGUAGGAGAGAAAACUCUAGACACACCACUAGAUUAUCUUCUUCUUCUCUAUUUUUUCAUCAUCUCCCUCCUCCACUUUCGUUGAUACCGUCUAUCAAGAAUUAUAAAAAUAAAAAUAAUUGAAAUUUACAUUGAUUUUUAAUAUGAAUAAUAUAGAAAAAGAGUCUAUAUAUAAGUCAAGGUGCCUAAUUGGUUGGUAACGUGAAGAAAUUAGAGUGAAAUAAAAAAAUAAAUAAAAACCAUGCAAGUUUUGAAAAUAAAUUAGAUGUUUUUAACUAUUUUUACGUAAACCCAUCAAUCUCUUUUCAAGAGAUACUUUUUUGUUUUUUUUUUUAAUUAAAGUGAAUAAUUUUUAUUAUUACUUAUAUUAAAUAAUCUAAAUCUUAAUUAUCACGAAAUGUUUUAUUUCAAGAACUUAACUCAUCAUUUCACCGACCCCUUUGAAUUGAAUAAUACCCACUCACUUACUCAACUAUAUAUAUAAUAUUUAUAAUCGAGUUGAUAUACAGUUUUGAACAAUUUUAUUAUAGAUUUUGAUUAUAUUUGUUUUUUAUACAAUAUUUAGAACUACCCAUAACCUCUCCCAAACCUUUAAAUAGGAGGAUAAUGCAUCUUAGCAUACUCGAACCUACAUCCUCCUGUACUGACAACAAUUUCAAUGCCAAUCGAGUUAGACUUAAUAAAUUUAUUUUAACAAAAUAAGUUUUGAAUUAUGCUUUUUUUAACAUUAUUUGAUAAAAUUUCAAAAAGAAAAUUAUAAAUAUUUUCUGAAAAAAUAGAAUUUCGAGAACUUUUAAAUUAUUUUUAUAACAUAAAAAAUUAAAAUUAAUUAUAUAUUAAAUAAAAAAUAGAUUUUGGUUCAGUUUUGAAACAUGCAUAUCAUAAAUCAUCCAAACAACUCGAUUUUAGUUGGUUUUCGAAUUUUCAAAUAUUCUUAUUCAGCCAUAAUCAUAAGUCAAUCGAAUAUGUUAAAAAUAAUUAAAAACAUAUUUAUUUAUAGAAUAAUAAAUAAAAUUACAAGAAUAUUUUACCUUUUAUAUUUUUAUAUAAAAAUUAUGAAAAACUAAUUUAAACUUAUAAUAAAUCUAAAAUAUUACACAAGUACGAUGAAACUCAAACCUGAAAAAUCUUGAAAAUUUUAAUUUUUUUCAUUUCAAUAAAAACUUCAUUUAUUUUUAUAUUAAUUUUUUAUAAUUCUUUUCACUUAUAUCAUAAAUCUAAUUAUAGUUGUUGAUUAAGUGCAAAAUUAGGACAACUUUUUAUUUAUAAUUUCCAAGUAAAUAUAAAUGUCAUUUUCAAUAAUAUAAUAUAAUAUAAUGAUUCCUUCGCAUGUUAUUCCCUUCUUUUUUACCUGCCGGUGAUUGUUUUACACAUUUAUUUGUGUAUGCAUGUGUGGUAUAUUCAUUGAGCCGGCAAGAACAGUUUACAUAGUUAGAAAUAGAACUGUCAACACCCGGAUUUCUUUAAAGUCAACUGCAUGAUUUUGGUGUCGGAUCGAAUGAAUAAUUGGUUAGAGUAUCGAUCUAAAAAAUGUUUUAGAUUAAUUGAGUAGCGAAUCGGUAUGGAUCGAUUGAACAGGGCUACAACAUUAGUUGAAUCUAGAUGCUUUAUUUAAUAAUUAUUCGGAUCGGUUGAAUUGGUGGUUGAACUAGUUCGAUCAUUAGUCCCGUUAUGAAAACCUUAGAUUUCCAUAAAAGGUUAAUUCAAAUAUAUUUAAGGUUAGUUUAGCAAUGCUUUUAAGAAAUACUUUUGGGACAAAAAAAAGUUUUUCAGAGAAAAAUACAUUUUAAACACCAAAAAUUGGCCAAAUACAGAAGCAGGAAAUUUGAGCUUUUGUCAAAAACGCUUUUUGCCUCUAAGAAGUAUUGCUAAACUAGUCUUUAAAUCUAAAUCUAAAAUGAUUGAAACUCCGGAUGAUCUUGAAAAUUUUAAAGGAUUUGAGCCCAAAAUGCCCUAAAAAGUUUGAAACCUAAACUGACCUGAUCAAGAUUAAUCCGACCUGAAACCAAUAUCUGCCUUAUUGAUAGGUUUAGUUAAAAAGUUUGAAACCUAAAUAAACCCUUAAAAUUUAAACUAAUUACGAGUAGAUUAAUCAAAUUGGCAAUGAUUUGAAUCCGAUUAAUUUAUGCAAUCUUAUUUAAGAGAUAAUUUUCAGAUUCCAAUACCUAUAAUCUCAUUGAUUUUUUUUUCUAAUUUUAUUUUUUUGUUGAUUUACAGAACAAAUGGAAAUAGCAAAAUCAAAAUCCCCAGGUGAAUCAUUGAGUUGGGAUGACGUUCAAAAGAUGAAAUAUUCAUGGAAUGUUGCUUGUGAAGUGCUAAGACUUGCCCCACCACUACAAGGUGCUUUUAGGGAAGCCAUUAAUGACUUCAUUUUCAAUGGUUUCUAUAUUCCAAAGGGUUGGAAAGUAAGUCACUUAAUUCAUUCAUUGGGCCAAUUCUAAAAACACUCACUAAAUUAUUAAUAAAAUUACGUUUUGGUUACUCAAUUUCAAAUAGUUCAGUGAUCAUUUUAUUACUUUUUGAAGAUAAGUGACCAAAAUAUAAAUUUACUAAUAAUUUAAUAACUUUAGGUAUAAUUUACCCAAAACAUAAAAUAUAUUUGCCUUUUUAACUUUUCAUGGUUAAUUGUGCAGUUAUAUUGGAGCGCAAACUCAACCCAUAGAAACCCUGAAUAUUUUUCAGAACCGUUAAAAUUCGAUCCGACAAGGUUUGAAGGAAAAGGGCCAGCGCCCUACACGUUCGUUCCGUUCGGGGGUGGUCCUCGAAUGUGCCCGGGCAAAGAAUAUGCUCGAUUGGAAAUACUUGUUUUCAUGCAUAAUAUUGUGAAAAGGUUUAAGUGGAAGAAAUUAGUGGCUGAUGAGAAGAUAAUUGUUGAUCCCAUGCCUAUGCCAGCAAAGGGUCUUCCAGUUCUCCUUUAUCCGUACAAAUCUUAAAUUAUUUUUCAACUUCCAUAAUUAUAUAUGUACCAAUGCAAAUGAAGCAAUCUUCUUUGCUCUUUUUUUUUUUAGUUUUUAUUUUCGAAUUUUUGUGGUUGUAAUGUUUAUGAAUCAAUAUAUUUUAUGUUUUUUUUAUUAUAAAAAAAUUAAAUUUAUUUCUCUUGUUUAGAAUUAGAUAAUGAUAUUAUAUUGAGAAAGCAUCAAGUAAGCAUCAAGUGUGUGGCCUAAUCUUAUUCAUGAGUUGGGCUACUCGUCCAGACUAGAAGGUUUAUUCGAAAUUUGAAAAGAUUUGGUUUAGGCCCAAAAAAUGAGCUUGGGCAAAAAAAAUAAGCCUGUUUAAAAUAUGGGUCGGGUCGGGCUUGAACAUUCAUAAAAAAUGAAAGUUAUUUUAGGUUUAUAAUACUUUAUAUUAUGUUAUUUUUAUAUAUUAUCUAAUUUAGAACACAUAAAAAAAUAAAACUAUACUAAAUAUAUAAUAUUACUCUAAUGUAAAUAUUAAAAUAAUGUUAAGAUGACUUCAUAAAAAAUGAAUAAAAUUAUUAAAUAUUAAAAUGAGCUUGCGUUAGUCUUUUGCAAAUAUAGGUGGGUUUGAGUAAAUUUUUAAGCCCAAAUUUCGGGCCGAGAUGGGCUUGGACAAGUAUAAAAUAUGUUAAUAUCAUGCUUACGCCUGACUCAAACCCGACACAUAGCACCUCUAGUGUGGACUAAUUAUUUUAAAAAUAUUAUUUAAAUUUUUUAAAAGAAAUUUUAUUUUAUUGAAUGAGUUGGAUGCGAAUAUCUAAUUCAAUAACUAAUGAAUACGUAGAUUAACUAUUUUCAAUACAUUUUAAAAUAAAUAAAAUGUUAAAUUCUAGUGAUUGACUUGAUGAUAAGGGGCUGUUCACCCAUAGAACCUACUCGGAUUCAAGUUUUUGGGGAAAAAAGGUGGAGCAUUUAUUUCUUCAUUGUACAAGCCCAAUUUGCGAGCCCAAUUAAUCCCAAAAUACCCCAAGCUCCAAACAAAUUAAAGCCAACCCAUUAAACUCACUAAACCCACUAAACCUAUUACAGCACAAAUAACCCCAAACUGACCCAACUAGUAAAUUUAAGGUUUUAAAAUCUGAAACCCUAAAUUACCUAACCCCAACCGACGCCUGCAGCACCACCCUUGUCACAUCCACCGCCCAUUUUCCUGCAAGAAAUAUAGAACAAGUUAUUAAGAAGCAAAUUGUAAGGGAAAUUGCCUAUAAAAGACCACUCCCAAAAUCAUUGUAUUUUCGGCACUGGAGAGAAAUAAAAAAAGCAUUUGAUUUUAAAACGCAAACAAAAAUCAGUGAGUUAAAACAACAAAAUAGCCAAUCAAGAGAAAAACACUAAAUUCGAAAACAAAUACCAAGAAUCAGACAUCUAGAAAAAAAAGGGCUCAGGUAAAUUGCCCUUUUGGCCCUCUACAGUCGCACGCGCAUUCAAAUGGGUCCCUUUUGUUAUAUUUCUCUUUAAAAUCGGCCCCAAAACUUCAUACUUGUUUCGAAUUUAGUCCCUUUUUAGAUUUAAUGUGAUUUCUAUAUUAUUUUUUACCAUUUUUUUAUUUUAAAUAUUAUUUAUUAUUCUAUCUACUACUUUCGUAUUAUUAUUAUCAGCAUAUUUUACUAUUAUUUAGACAUUUUUAGUUUUAAUUAAUACUUACAUAUAUUUUAUAUAUAUUCAUAUAGUUGUUUUUUAUUAUUAAUAGUCCUAAUAUAUAUUUUAUAUAUACACAUUUAAAUACUACAUCAUACUCCAUAUUAUGCAUAUACAUAUUAACAUUACACCAUGUAUAUAUUUUUAUAAAUAUUAUAUAUAUUUAAUAUAUUAUAUAUCUUGUGUACAUACUUUUAGUAUUAUCAUGUAUUCAUUUUAAUAUAUAUGUAUAUAUCUAUGUAAUAUCAUUAAUAUUUAUUAUUAUUAUUUUAAAAAAACAUUAUUAUUAUUUUUUAGCAUGUAUAUACUAUGUAAAUAUUUCAAAUAUAGCAUUUUUAUUAUGUAUAUAUAUUUUUUGAUACGGAUACAUUUUUUAUAUUACGUGUAUACAUCUUUUAAUAUUGUAUUUUUAUUGUUAUGCAUAUACCUUAAUACUAUAUCAUUUAUAUAUUUUUAUUUCUCAUAUUAUCUUACGUUUAUAUUUUUUAAUAACUAUAUCAUGUAUAUACUACUACUAUAUAUCUAUUUAUGUAGUAUUAUUAAUAGUUGUUUUUAAUAUUAUGAUUAUUUCUAAUACGUAUAUAUUAUGUAUUUACCUCUAAUACUAUAUGUUGUAUAUUUCUAAUACUAUUAUGCUAUUACCAUUACUAUUAUUAUUAUUAUUAUUAUUAUUAUUAUUAUCAUAAUCAUUAUUAUAAUUAUUUAUCGUUAUUAUAAAUAUAUUGUUUUUUAUUCUUAUUAAUAUAUUCUUCUUCUUAUUAUUUUCCACCUUAUUAUUAUUACUAGUAUUAUCAUCUUGUUAUUAGGUUAAUUAAUUUUAUAUAGGUAUUAUUAUGUUAUUAUACAUAUUCUCUCUGUAUUUACUUAUAUUAUUACUUAUAUUAUCAUCACUAUUAUCAUUAUGAUUUAUUACUUUAUUAUUAUCAUUAUUAUUACUAAUAUAUUAUUAUUAUAUUUUUACCCAUUAUUCUUUAAAUACACUUAUUUUAUUUUUUAUUCUUCACUCACAUUAUAUGUUAUUUACUUAUUUAUAUAUACACAUACAUAUAUACACUUUCAUACAUCAUUCCAAAAUUAUUACUUGUAUUAUUACAUUUAAUAUUAUUAUUAUCAUUACUAUACUAUCAUUCUUUAGUUUUACAUAAUUAUUGUUUAUUUAUUACUAGUUCUUUUUAAUUUCGAAUAUUUCCUAGCUUAUUCGUUAUUUUCUUUUUAUUUGUCUUAUUCAUUUAUUUUUGCUCUUAUCAUUAUUAUCGUUCACAUUCGUGUUUAUGUUUAUUCUGUUAUACCUAUCAAUACCAAAAUUUGUAUUUGCUUAUGCAUUCUUUAUUAUCCCAUUUUAUUACAACUUAUGUUAUACUAACUUUUACCCAACCCAAAAUAAUUCUUUCAUAAAAAGUAAUAUUCCGUAUUUGGUAAUUUGAAACAAUCGUGCCUUAACUUAUUGGGUUUCGAUUUUUCUCAUCUAACCUAAAUAACGGAAUAUUCUUUUAAAUCACAAUACGAGUUUGAAAUAAAUACUUACUCUCGGAGAUACGAGGUGUUGUGCCCUAACUCACUGGGUAUGACAUUUUGUUACCUCGGGAUAAGAUUUUUGUUAACAAAGGCAAUAUUUGGCAUUUGGAAAUUCGAGAUAUCUUGCCCUAACUUACUGGAUUUUGAUUUUCCUCGUUUAUACUAAAUAGUCGAAUACCCUUUUAAAAAGGGGUCAAAAUACGUGGAUUUCAAAUAUAGGCAAGCUCAUUCUCAAAGUUCAACAUGUCGUGUCCUAACUCACUGGACGUGACGCUUUAUUACUUCGAAAUGAGAGAGUCAUUAACCUUCGUUUUAACUUAUUCAAUCAUUUUUAGCAUUAAUUCAAAGAGGGAUCGUAUUUUAAAUUCUGUCAAGUUUUCAAAUCUUCGACACUAAGACACUAAUUAAUCAACUAGGUACCAAUUUUGGGCGUAUCGAGGGUGCUAAUCCUUCCUCGUGCGUAACCGACUCCCGAACCUGUUUUCUUGAUUUGCGUGGACCAAAAUCGUUGUUUAAAUAAAUCAAACCAUUUAUUAAAAACAACCACUUUUAUUAGGUGACCCGAUCACACCUCAUCAAAAAAAGAUUGGUGGCGACUCCAGUUUUUCGUUUUCAUUUUCAAAAUCCAAGUCGAUUCCCGUUUUUCAAAAAAAUAGUUACGACAUUCAUUUUUCUCAUCCACCAUUUCUAUUAUAUAUUAUGUAUUAUAUAUGUUAGUGAAGAUGGUACCACUUUAAUAGUGUAGAAAUUCAUUUGGAAUACAAAUCAAAAUAAUUAAAACAAUAUUUAAAACAAAUUUAUUAUUGCAUUGGAAUUAGACCUGAUCAUGAUACGAGUCAUUCGGCUCGGUUUGAAGACUCAUUUGAAAAAUGAGAGGGUUUGAGUAAAAAUAUAGGUCUAAAAAAUAGGUUUGGGAAAAAAUAUAAGGCCCAUUUAGAAAACAAACCGUCUCUCGGGUAAGCUUUCUUUUGGUUCGGGCCCAACCCAAAUUUGCAAAAAAAAAAAUUGGUUUUUUUCACCUUUUUGCUCUCAUUUCACUAUUAUAUUGUUACUAUUUUGUUAUUGUUUCGAUAUUGUAUGACUCUUGUUUUAUUGAUAAUUUUGCUACUAUUUUAAAUGCAUUUGCUUGUUAAGUUGCAUCUAUCUUACUAUUAUUUAAGUAUAAAUAUUAUUUUUAAUUUGUUGGUGUAGCGACGUGAAAAUUUCGCUUUGGUCGCUAAGGUGGUUAUUUGAAAAUUUGAAAAUGGAAUUUCAGUUUUAUAGAGAAAUGGAGUCGCCACCGACCUUUUUUCUAGGUGUGAUCGGACAACUAAUAAAUCAUCUUUUUUAGAAAAAAAUUUAUUCUUGAACAAAAAUGAAUGUCGAAUUUGGGUCUACGCGAAAAUCCAGAAAAAAAUAGGGUUCGGGAGUCGGUUACGCACGAGGAAGGUAUUAGCACCCUCGCGACGCCCAAAAUUGGUAUCUUGUUAAACACGCGUUGUCUUAAUUCUAAAAAAUAUGAGUUUAAUUUAAUAUUUAAUCGUGAUCCGAUUGAAAUACGAGAAUUUAAAAUUUUUGAUUUUUUAGAAGGACGUCUCGUUUUUAACACGAGCCAAUGAUAUCCACCCAAAAUAGCAAUGAAAUCAGCGACUUAGUGUUGAAAUCUGUGCGUUGCCUUAUUUAUUUUUAAAAUUGAUUAAAAACAUAAAAAUAUCAUUUGCGAUAGGAAAUUGUAAACAAUGCAAGCGAUGAUACAAUUAAUGAAAAACAUUAAAAUAUAAUAUUAGCAUAAAAAUAAAAAUGAUAUUCACAAUAAAAAAAUAAUAAAAAAUAAUAUUCUAAUAAAAUAAUAAAAGAAAUAGUAUUUAUAGUAAUGGUAAAAAUACUAAUAUGCACAUAAAAAAUACACACGUAUAUAUGUAUGUUAAUGAUGAUGAUAAUGAUAAUGAUAAUAAAAAUAACAAAUAUUAUGUAAUAUGUAUAAACAAAUUUAUAAUUUAAGUAAAAAUGAUAAAAUAAUAAUGGAAUAAAUAUAGAUAAGUAUUAUAUGAAACAAAACAAUGAUACAGGAUAAUAGAAAAUUUUCAAAGUUUGAAAUUACAUAAAAGUGUAAGCGAAUAAACAAUGAAAUAAUAAAAUAGAAUUAAUGUAUCAUAUAAAAAAACGUAAAUAUAUAAAAGAAAAGCUAUAAUAAUAAUAGUAAUUAUAAUAAAAGUAAUAAUAAUAAAUAUAAUAAUAGUAAUAUUAGUGAUAAAGAAUAAUAGAUAUAAAAAUAAACAUAAAAACCAUGACAAUAAGAAUAAUAGUAAAUAAUAAUGAAAAUAAAAGUAAUAUUAAAUAAUACAUUAUAUUACGAUAGUAAAGUAAUAACAAUAAUGAUAAUGGUACAUAACAAUUAAUAAGUUAAAUUAAUUAGUAAUAAAGUAAUAAAGAAAAUAAACAUAAAAAGGAAAGUGUAUAAUAUAAUAAUAUUAUUAAAAUAAGGUAAUUAAAAAUACUACUAUAUAAAUUCAUAUAUAUAUGCAUAUAUAAUAAAAAUAUAUAGUACUAAUAAUAAUAAUAAUAAUAAUAAUAGUAAUAAUAUUAAAAUACAAAAAAUUAAAUAUAACAUGAUAAAUAAUAUGUAAAAUAAAUAAUUAAAAAACAAUACUAUAUAUAAAUAUAUAUAUAUACAUAUAUAAUAAAACCUACACUAAUAUUAUUAAUAAUAAUACUAGAAAUAAUAUCAAAAUACAAAAAAAAGUAAAUAUAACAUAAUAAUAAUAUUAAAAUAAAAUAAUUAAAAAUAAUACUAUAUAAAUAUAUAUAUACAUAUAUAAUAAAAAACAUUCACUAAUAUUAAUAAUAAUAAUGAUAAUAGGAAAUAAUAAUAACAAUAUAUACUAAUAACAGUAAUAAUAUGAAAAAUAAGAAAUAACAAUAGUAUAAAAUAAUAAUAUAUACAUGAAAAAAAUAAUAAUAUAAAUAAUUGAAAAAAUAAUAAAAUUAAAUAAUUUAACAAUAAAAUAGCUAAACAAUAAAAAAAAAGAUUAAAUUGAAUUUGAAACAGAAAGUUUGGGGCGAAUUCGAAACAAAUAAUCACGAAAUGGGCCAUAUUGAAAGAGUGAAUAACAAAGAAGGACUAAAGGGGACAUAUCCCCGCCCUCCCAAAAUGCAUCACUUCACGUGGGACGAAAUUGAAAUAGAAAUAAAAUUAUAGGGUAAAUUUAGAAAUAACGAAAGACUUAAUUACAAAACUAAAAAAGAGUGGAAGGACCUACAGCGCAAUUAACCCCAAAAACAAAAAUACGUGGAUCCUUUUAGUGGGUCGGGUCGCCUGCGCGGGUUGAGGGCCAAACGACGCCGUUUUGGGGUUUAAAGACCCAGGCCAAAACGACGACGUUUUGGUCCUCUAUUUUAAACAAAUUUCCUAAAAAAAAAAUUUCAUUUCAGCAUUUGUUUUUUUUUUUUAAAAAUUUCCUUCUAGUUUUCUCUCUGCAGACGCCUCAGGCCGAUCGGAGCUCCGGCGAAACUACCGUCGUGACCACCGCCGUCGCCGGCCACCACCUAAAGGUUUUUUUUGUAUUUUUUAUAUGUUUUUUUAAUAUUCGUAUAUAUAAAUGGUAAAAGAAAAUAAAUAGAUCUUUAUAUGUAUAUAUAGUUACGAAAAGUAAAUAAAUAAAGAUGAAAAUAGAUCGAAAAUAACACCUUAUCCUGAAUCUAACUCCUCUGUUUUAGUCUUGCUAUGAUCGAAUGCUUCUAUUGGUGUUUGAGUCUCUUUUUGUUCUAUUUUACUGUAUUAAAAAAUGUCCAAAGAGCCAAAAUACAAAAUAUGGCAAGGCUUAUAUAGCCAUUUAUAAAGUAUUUUUUAUUGUUUAUGUCUUUUCUUCAUUUGCAUGUGCAAGUUGGACAAUGACAAAGACGGUGGCGUGCUGCAGGCGUGGCCAGUGGAGUUGGUGGUGGCAGAGGCUAGGAGCGGUGGCUAGGGGAGCUAGGGUUUUCUGAUUUUGUUUUGUUUUUUGUUUUAGGUAUUGGGCUGGCUUAGUGGGCUUAGGGUUUUUAGUUAUUUGGGUAUUUAGUUUGAGUUAGGGUAGGUUAGUUGGCUAAUGGGUUUCAUUUUGUUUUGUUUUGGAUUUGGGCUGCACUGUUUUGGGUUUAGUGGGUUUAGCCCGGGUCAAAAUAGGCUUGUACAGUUGGGAAACAUUUAUUUUAAUAUUCUUAGUUAUUUAAUAUACGUAUUAUAUUUUUUAAAUUUAUUUUUAUAUAUAAAACUAAUAUAAAAAAAUAAUAUGGGCAGACUGGGUCGGACUUGAGUUUUAACUUUUUUACCCGGGCUGGACUUGGACAAAAUUUUAGAUCUAUUUUUCACGUCAGGCAUAUCAAACGAGCCUAAAAUUUUGUUACGACCUAACCCAUGAUCAUCUCUAAUUGGAAUGAGUGUAACCUUAUUUCGAUAUUUAAUAAUUAAAACAACAUUUAAAACAAACUGAGUAACCUUAUUUUAGGUUUACAAAAGAAGAUUAACAGUGAUUCAUUGAUGAUUAGAAAAUGAACCAUCGAUUGAAGAACCCUAAUUUUAGACGUUGGGAUUUAGAGAGUUUUUCAUGCGGAUUGAGAGUAUUUUGGGGAACAUUUUUACUGUUGAAAAAUGGUAAAAUUUGGGGUAAGUCCUUUUCUGAUGCAAAAUUACGACCUCACUACUUACUAUUUUUUUUAAAUUACAAAUUAAAUCAUUAAACAAAUGGCCUAAUUGUUUUCAAAGUCAUUUAUUUACCCCGACGUUCUUAAAUAUACUCAUUUAAUGGAAAAAAAAACUAUUAUCACUAAAACUCUUUAAUUAUUAUAAUCUCCUUUUUUUGUUUAAUUUUUUAAAUAUAUCUAAAUUAAUAUAUUUAAAUACAUUUCAAUUAUUUCAUUAAAAUAUUUUAAAUAAAAUAUAUAAUAUAAAAAAAUUAAGGGAAAAUUUUCAAGGUAGUUGCUAGACUCUACAAGUAGGGUAAGGAGAUUGACAAGUAUCCUAUAAGGAUAUAGUAAAAUAUUAAAAAAAAUCGAUAUUUAAAAAAAGAGACAUAUAUCAAUUUUUUAGGAUUCAUUGUGGAAUAAAAAAAAAGUAUAUUACUAGUCGAUUAAGUCUUAACUCGAUUGACAUGAGUAUUGUUGGCAAAUUUAGGAUGACGUAGGUUUGAGGACGCUAAAGCGUAAUAUCCUUCUAUUUAUGUGUUGGGAGAGAUUAUGGAUAGUUCUAGACAUUGUGUCAAAAAGAUUAGAUAUGAUUAGAACUUAUAAUGAGAUUAAUAAUAAGGGCAAAGUCAGAAAUUUUUUUUAGGGGGGCCGAAUGAAAUUUUAAUUUUUUAUAGUUUAUAUUUUUAUAAUUUGUAAAGGAUUAAAUUGAAUUUUUAUAAUUUUAGGGGGGCCAAAGUGCAAUUUUACCUUUACUAAUUUAAAAUUUUUAAAAAAUUUCAAGGGCCUAAAAUAAAAUUUUCCAUUUUAGGGGGAGCCGGGGCCCAUGCCAGCCCCCUAGCUACGCCCCUGUUAAUAAUAAUAAUAAAAAAGCACACCAGCCGUAUACCAAAUACUCACCCAAAAUUUAAUUAAAAAAAGUUUAUAUUAAUUUUAAAUAGUGAAAUAAAAUUGAAUUGAAAAUAUUCUAUUACAAUGUUUUAAAUGUUGUUUUAAAGGUUAAGGCAAUUUGUGUAAAAUGUUAUUCAUUUACAUUUUAUGUGAAUAUAGAAACAUUAAUUUUAGAAAUCAAUGAAUGUUAUAGUUAAAAAAGAGGUUUGAUAUUAGGUAUUUUAAAAAUAAAAGGUAGUGGUGUGUAAACAGUUAAUUUAAUCAAUUUGAUCGAUAUACAAUAAUCGAAUUGAUUGAUUUAUAUAGUGUAACUUAAUUUAGCUGAAUCGAUUUACUAGUAGUUGGUUAAGUUGGUUUAAAAUAAAUAUGUUAUAAUGUAAAAAUAUAAACAUGUUUAAAAUAAUUUAAAAAAUAUUAUUAAAUUGGUUAGUUCGGUUAUGAUAUUGAAUAGCUGAUAAUCGACUGACAUAAUCAAAUAAAUCGACCUUACAAUUACUUUAACUGUCAAAAUUGACUAAACCUGAUUGAUCGGUUAAGUUAAUUAAUCCGGUAAGCUCAUCGGAUCAUGCAAUUUAGCAAGCAAGUCAAUCAAAUAAAAUCAUUUAGAGUAUAUUUUUGGGAACAUUUUUACUUGUUGAAAAAUGAUGAAAUUAGGGGUAAUUCCUUUUCUGAUGUAAAAUUACCACCUCACUACUUACUAUUUUUAAAAAUUACAAAUUAAAUCAUUAAACAAAUAAAAUGUGCAAUAUAAAAAUUUUGGGGGAAAAUAUUUGGUACCCUUUGUUAGAAUUUACAAGUAGGGGUAGAAGAUUGUAAAGUGUCCCUAUAGGGAAAAUAUUUGGUACCCUUUGUGGAAAAAAAAUGCUAUCAGUAGGGGUGAGCAAAAUACGAUUCGAUUAAAAAAACUCAAUAAAAAGUUUAAAAUUUGAAUUAAAUAGUUCAAGUUAAUCAAGUUAUUCGGAUCAACUCGAAUAAAAAAUUAAAAUUUUCAGUUUAACUCAAAUAUGGAAUUAUACAAUUCGAGUUAUCUAAAAAUCCGAAUAAGAAAAGACAAAACUACUAUGUCGUUUUGAUAAAUAUUUACCGAUUAAGUUAAAAGGUAAAACCAUUAUAUUGUUUAUGUUGUUAAAUAAUCUUGUACUUCGUCUAUUAGUUAAAUAACUGUCCAUGUAAAUGUAACAUUGAGUAUAAAUAAUGGGACUCGUUAACUCGACUUGAAAUUUUUUGACUCGAUUCGAUUUGCUUCGAAAAAAAUUCAAACUGAGUUCAGUUGCUAAAAUAGGAUUCAUCAACUCAACUAACUAGAAAUUUUUUGAAACGACUCGAUCGAAUACUCACUCCUAGCUACCAAUGUAUCAAAUCCCAUAACCCCUCUUCAACCCAUAAAUAGAGAUCAUAAUGUGCUUUAGUGUACUCGAACUCACAUCUUCCUACAUUGACAACAAUACUCAUGCCAAUUGAGUUAAGACUCAAUCGUCAAAAUUUAUAUUGUUUUAAAUAGUAUUGAUAUAAAUUAAAACUACAAAAAUAAGGUUAGGCACUCAUUCCAAUACAAUAAUAAGUUUGAUUUAAAUGUUGUUUUAAAGUACAAACCAAUGAAUGUUACAAAAGAUUUUAAGGAUGCCUUAUCUAAGAGGUUUAAUAUUUAGGUAUUUUAAAAGUAAAAAGCAUAGGACUAAAGUUAGGUAGUGGUGUAUACAAUAGUCAAAUUGAUCGACUUAUAUAGUGUAACCUAAUUUAGUAGAAACGAUUUAACAUUGGUUGGUUUAGUCAGUUUAAAAUAAAUAUAUUAUAACGUAUUGAAUUGAUUUAUAUAUUAUAAAAAUAUAAAGAUGUUUAAACUAAUUUUAAAAAAAAAUAUUAUUAAGUUGGUCAGUUGGAUUAUGAAAUUCAAUAGCUGAUAAUCGACUGACAUAACCAGAUAAAUCGACCCUAUGACCAAAUUAACUAUCAACAUCGACUAAACUUAAUUGAUCGGUUAAGUUAAUUAACUCGGUUUUAAUCGACUUAUGUUAUCCCCUAGAAUUAGGUGUAAAAGCAUAGGGUUGGCAAUUUUUUUUAUAUAUGCUGCAAAGGAUAACCGUUGAUGAAUUUUUCAAGAUUAAGACGCUAGUGAAUGAUCAUUAAUGUUUGAUUUGAUUUAAAUAUAUACACAAAUCAUCUGCUAAAUCAAUAUACUUUAUUGAAUAUAUAUAUACAUAUAUAAGCUACAUAUGGAAAAUGCGAAAAUUUGGGCAAAUAUAAUGUUAUAGAUCAAGAAACAAAAAGACAGACAACAUAAAGAAGAAACAAAUAAUUAUUAAAAAGUAAUCGGAUGAUGGUUGGAUACCCAGGUAAACCGGUCACCUUAUCGAAUCAUCCAAUGUAUCAAGCAAGUCAAUCAAAACAUAUGAGAAAACAAUCCACAACCAUGCUCUGUAAUGUAUCACACAAUUGGAUCCCACCCCUAAACACGAUUAAGUUGGGAUUCCAUAACACACCAAUUUGAAACUCCACCCGAAUCCGAACCCGAUUUCAAGCUAGAUCGGUUCCUAAACACCACCACAGAGCAGCGAGCUCAAGAGACCCCUGACGAUGUCGCAGCAAGCUGGGGCAUCAACAUCAGCAUCAGCACCAUUACCAUUCCCUAUCAAUAAAGGAAGGCAGCGUGGAAGGGUGACUACGCCAUCAGCACGGGUUACGUCCCCUUGAGCCAGGGGUGCACCCACCACCAUGCACAACACUAGCAGACAUGCAAGCUUAAGGGACAUGGAGCUAGCCAUAUGGAUUAAUCACAAGAAAAACAAACUUGUAAGGAAAAUGGUUGCUUGGAGUAUUGCUGAUUGUUGCGUGGUUAGGGGUUGAGGGUAGGAGGGUUUUUAUAGCCAAAAGUUGAGUUUUAUUUUCUUUUUUUCAGCUUGGUGGUAACAGGGAUUCUUUUGUUUUCCUCUGUACUUUUGGUUGUUGUUUUUGGGUGAUUCCUUUAGGCUUGUUUGCUGCUGUUUUUAGGCUGUGUCUCUGUCAAAACAGAUGUACUGAUUGUGUGUGUGCCAACUUUCUUUCACUUGAAUCAUAAUCCCCCCUCCCAAAAUAGUUAACCUAAA
rnacentral:lncRNA from 1 species